ACCAAGGAGCUCUGCAAAUCCAUUGUUUUUCAGACUCUGAUUGGGCUUGUGAUCAUGAUGAUAGGAAGUCAGUAGCUGGCUUUGCUGUUUAUCUAGGUCCUAAUCUUGUUUCUUGGUCAUCCAAGAAGCAAGCUGUUGUUUCUAGAUCCAGCACAGAGGCUGAGUACAGAUCUCUUGCUCAUGCUACUUCAGAGGUUACCUGGAUUAAGUCUUGGUGAACUUAGCAUCAACUUGAGCUCUACUCCUAUGAUGUGGUGUGAUAAUCAAGGAGCUAUUGCUUUAGCUUAUAAUCCAGUCUAUCAUGCUAAAACUAAGCAUGUUGAAUUGGAUAUCCAUUUCAUCCGAGAUAAAGUUACUGUUAAAGAAGUUGCAGUCUGCUAUGUGCCUAGUCAAGAUCAAACAGCAGAUGUGUUGACUAAAGCUCUCUCCUUCAAACAGUUUAGUUACUUCCGCAGCAAGCUGAAUGUUCAUCCUAAACAUUUCAGCUUGAGGGGGGAUGUUAGUGAAUCAGAUGAAUGAAGCUGGAGCAGAGCAUGAUGUUGCUGUACAGCUGGAGCAGUGUAGCUGGAGCAGAGCAUGAUGUUGCUAUGUAGUUGGUUGUAUCAGAUCAAAUCAUUAAGCUGACCUGUCAAAGUUAGUUAGCUGGUUGAGCUGAUGUGUCAAAUUAGUUAUACAGCAAAUGGUUAUGAGUUGCAACAAUCUCGUGUGUGUGUGUUAAGAGAUUGUAGCUCAAUAUAAAUAUCAAUUGGUAGUCAUUAAAUAGCGAGCUUGAAAUAAUACAAAGAUCUAACAGUUUUCUUUACAAAGCUUUUCUUUUAUUUUCUUUCAUUUUCUAGCCUACCAAACAAUAUAGAACUAAGUUUCUUUCACCACCAGCAUCCCAUCACUCUCCAUAUUAAUCCGGCGGAAGAAUCAAGCAUCCGUAUUUGUCAAAUUUGUAACAUUAAGACCACGCCGUCUUGCGUGGCCUAUUAUUGUACUGAUUGCAAUUUUGCAGCACAUUUCUUGUGCGUUCAUGAAGAGAUCUAGAAUUCCAAUCUCUAUUUCAUUUCUAAAAGCAUUAAUUUACUCCCAUUUGUCAUUCAAAAGAUUAUGGUGAAUGAGGGUACAUUGAUGAAAGUUUUUUUUUAUCUUCUUAAUGAGGGGUAAAUUAUUGUUUUCGAAGCAGGAUAAAUUAUAAAUUGCCAUUCUCGAUAGGAGUAAAUUGAAAUUGACCAGAAUUAAUAAUGAAAGAUGCCAUAUUGUUGAAUGCAUAUGAUUCAACCACUCUUGCUCGUAAGAAGAAAAAUUUCGAGGAUGAAAUUGCAGCCGAGAGCCUCAGAGCAAACACAAUUUUAGCUCUGCAGGUUGCUUAAUAAUAGUCUUCUGAGUUCUAGUUAAAUUUUUUUGAGACAGUACGAGAUGUCAAUGUUAUGUCUUUUAUGUCGCCAAAUUAGUAACUACAGAAUUUUAACUCCUCUCCAAACAUGUUAUCAAAUUUGGCCGCCUCAAGAUAAUUUUAUGGCUAAAGCGACAGUAUUCUGAUAUUAUCUUUUUAGUGGAAUUUAAUUAAACUUUGGCCUAAAUUUAAUGUGGGUUCUAAUUUGCCUAGUUUUCUUGAGGUUAAUUAAGACAAAUAUUAACCUGAACUAAAGUUAUUUUUCACUCGGAAAAUGUAGGUAAAGCCUAUCUCUCAGGGUUUACAAAUUGUCAAUUCUAACAUGUCAUUUUGAAAAGUUAAAUUUGCCCUAUGAUCGAUUCCCAAAUUUCCAAUUUGACAUACACAAUUAAUAAAAAAAAUUUACAAGCCAAUAUCAUAAUUGCUUGGCAAAAAAUUAAUGAACAAGAUUAUCUAAGAUUGACGUCAUGAGAUGACGGGAUUAAAUUAAUCCAAGAACCUUCCUUAUUGGCUACACAAUCGAGGUGAGAUGCAUUCACAUCAAUAUUCAUUUUAAAUAUUCUUCCUCUUAUCACUAACUCCCAAUUGGCGACUUUUCUUUGGACCGUCGAAUGGACUUCUUGAACAAGAUUGAAAAGUACAUUAUUUGACUAUAGAAUGCAUCCUCGUAGAAAAGGGGGGGAAAAGUAAAACAUUCAUUUAUCCUUAGAUUAAAGUUCAUGGAAACUUCAAUAAUUUAGUAUUCUUGCAAAAUCUUAUCAUCGACCAAAAAUCUUUAUGGAUCUUUUAAAAUAUCAUUAAAGAAUUCCCUUUACAACUGUAUAACAUUCAUUGAAAGGGUCCAACAUUUGCUAGUAAAUUAAGAUGAAUAUUACAUUAAAAAUAAAUAAAAGAAAAGAGAAGAGGGACAAAAGUUGUUGGUCAUAAGGAAAAUCAAACUACACAAUACUAAACCCCCCCAAAAAAAGUCAAUAAGACCCUAACACCGCCCCNNNNNNNNNNNNNNNNNNNNNNNNNNNNNNNNNNNNNNNNNNNNNNNNNNNNNNNNNNNNNNNNNNNNNNNNNNNNNNNNNNNNNNNNNNNNNNNNNNNNNNNNNNNNNNNNNNNNNNNNNNNNNNNNNNNNNNNNNNNNNNNNNNNNNNNNNNNNNNNNNNNNNNNNNNNNNNNNNNNNNNNNNNNNNNNNNNNNNNNNNNNNNNNNNNNNNNNNNNNNNNNNNNNNNNNNNNNNNNNNNNNNNNNNNNNNNNNNNNNNNNNNNNNNNNNNNNNNNNNNNNNNNNNNNNNNNNNNNNNNNNNNNNNNNNNNNNNNNNNNNNNNNNNNNNNNNNNNNNNNNNNNNNNNNNNNNNNNNNNNNNNNNNNNNNNNNNNNNNNNNNNNNNNNNNNNNNNNNNNNNNNNNNCCACCAAAAAAAGUCAAAAUCAUGGGAAACAGCCACGUUUUCCUUAGCUUCAUUUGUGUAGGUGCAAUGAACAUAUAAUUUGAUGAGACCCUGUCCUCUUGUACUUCUGUAGUUUUGUUUACUACUUCUAGAAUGCAACUUUCAACUUACACCAAAGAAUUAAAUUGUUACCGUGCGCUAAUGUUUUAUUGAACAACUUCACCUAUUAGAUGGUAAGAGUUAUAUAUGUAAGUAACUUAAUAACAUCUCAUAAAUAAUGAAUUCACUAGAGUAUAGCACGCAGCAUUAUUCGACAAUGUCAUUUAAUUAGCACAAUAUGAGUAGCGUUACCCACUAUAUCAUUUACUAUCUUUAUAGUAGCUGAAUCGAUUCACUCAUCAAUUGAACAAAACAUGAUUAUUUUAGUUAAAAGAUAGCUCUCAAUCCUACGGUGACUUCAAGUUUCUUAGUGUUAUUGAAUAAAAUUUGCUUCAUUUUCAACAGACUUAGGUUCUCUUCUUUCAUUUCUGUAAAUUCUAAACUAAAUUAACGAAGAGGUAGACAAAGUUAACAACGAGGAUGUCUUUAUCAGUUAAGUUUCGUUGUAAGUACUGAGGAAAAGCACGUUCCAAAUAUAUAUAUAUAUAUAUAUAUAUAGAAACGAGGGGAUACAAUUAAACACAUGACAUAACACGAUCCGUUGACUACCAUUUUUUAUUGAGACAUUUAAGAGAAAACAACAAGUUGAUUGUGGAUUAAUAGCGAACGUUUUGACGACGUUAAUUCCUAGACUUGUUCUUCCUUGAAUGUAUUUUAAAAUGAGUUCCACUAAAAUCUAACCGCCUACACUCAAAGAUACAUACAUUCAACUCAUUGCAGAAGAAUUAUUAAAAGAAAAAUGAUAUUCAAAGCAGUAAAAAUUUGUCUAUAAUUUGUAAUUUUUUUUGUACCGAAAAAAAAAAGAAUGUGUCAGCAUUUUAAGACAAACGCAUGCAUUUCUAUCUGCACUCGAGAAUGUUAAUCUUUAAAAUAACUUACAAUUAGCUUGUAGUAGCAAAACGUGUAUAUAUAAGAGUUGGUAUAAGCAUUAUUGUCAAAAAAAUUAAGAAUACCAUCCUAUCAAGUCAACAACUUCAAAAGUCAAAUUGUAAAAUUUAGUAUAUAUGCAAGUCGCGUAAUCAGAUUAUGAGAAUUUAACAACCUUUCACAGAGUAAUAAUUAGAAUAUGUAUAUUCAAUUACAAUAAAAAUAAAAAUAAAAAGAUCAAGAAAACACGAGGAAGUUGCUCUCCGCCCCCUACACAUGAAUUCAACUUUAUUAUAAUUUAUAAGAAUGAGUCUCACCACUUCACCUUCAACCUCACAUUGCCUCAAAUCAAACCAUCUCAAAAACGACAACCUGCAGAGAGAUUCGCAAGCAAGAUCAUCAUGUGCUUCUCUCUGAUGGCUAAGUUCUUGAUACUUGCAAUCUUAAUGGGGAGUGCUGCUCAUAUCCAAGUAAGCAGCCUUCAUUUCAAUUUCCAAAGCUUCACUGAACAAAAUCGAAAUGAGCUUUCCUUCGACAAUUCAACCGUGGCCAAAUCCGCCAUCCAAGUUACGUAUGAUGUUCGAGGAGCUCCGAUUACAAAUCAAUCCGGACGGGCCAUCUACAAAGAUCAAUUCCAGCUGUGGAGAGAUAAUAAAAAUGUCAAAGCAACUUUCAGCACCACCUUUGUUCUUAACAUCCUUAACCAGACAGCUCAGCCCGGCGAAGGCCUCGCUUUUGUAAUAGCCGGGAACAAAGAUCUUCCGGAGAACAGCGAGGGGCAAUGGCUUGGAAUUGUAAACGGUAUCACGAAUGGGACUAAUCAAUCUCAGAUAGUCGCGAUAGAGUUUGAUACAAAGAAGAGCUACGAGCAAGACAUUAAUGAUAAUCAUGUUGGCUUGGACGUGAAUAGCGUCUACUCGAUCAGACAAGUGCCCCUAACAAGAGUAAAUCUUGCAAAUGGCACUGAUAUCAAAGUACAAGUUCGAUAUGACGGCCAAAAUAUUACUGUUUUUGUAGCAAACAUGGAGACUCCAUUGCUUUCCGAGCCUAUUGAUCUUUCCGAGUACCUUCCGGAGAAAGUCUUCGUAGGAUUUUCGGCUUCAACAGGGGAUGAUACACAGCUGAACUGUGUGAAAUCAUGGGCAUUUGAUGGUUCAGAUAUUGGCGGAGAUUCGAAGGCCUUUCGGGUUUUGAUUGCUGUUCUAGUUCCAGCUGUGGUUUUACUAGCUGGUGUUGCUUUUUACUGCUGGAGGAGAUACAGAGCUAGGGAACUUGAUGAUGACAUCGAAGGCCUAAUCAAUGGCACCAAUCUGGCUCCGAAAAAAUUCCGGUUGAAAGAGCUUAAGAAGGCGACGGGCAAUUUUAACCCGAAGAACAAGCUCGGGAAAGGGGGAUUUGGAACGGUUUAUAAAGGAAUCUGGAGGAACAAAGAGAUAGCUGUAAAAAGAGUUUCAGAGACUUCGCGCCAAGGCAAGCAAGAGUUCAUUGCAGAAGUUACCACAAUCGGGAGCCUUCGUCACAGGAAUCUUGUGAAGUUGAUCGGAUGGUGCUAUGAAAGGCAUGAUUUUCUUCUUGUGUAUGAGUACAUGCCUAACGGUAGCCUGGACAAGUUCAUAUUCUACGAUGAGACGAACAGUGGCCCCGGGGAAGUGACACUGAACUGGGAAAAGAGGCUGAGCGUAAUACAUGGGACAUCUCAGGCGCUGGAUUAUCUGCAUAACGGGAGCGAAAAGAGAGUUCUUCAUCGGGACAUAAAAUCGAGCAAUAUCAUGCUGGAUUCGGAGUUCAAUGCAAGGUUGGGAGAUUUUGGAUUGGCGAGAACCAUCCAAGAAAAUUUGAAGACUCAUCACUCUACGAAAGAGAUAGCUGGAACUCCUGGUUACAUGGCUCCGGAGAGCUUUCUGGUGGGCAGGGCCACCAUUGAAACUGAUAUUUACGCGUUCGGAGUUCUGAUCCUGGAAGUUGCUUGUGGGAGGAAGCCUGGAAAUCAAAGUGAGCAGAACAGUUAUAACAAUAGCAUUGUGCACUGGCUGUGGGAACUUCGUAGGAAGGGAAGAAUUCUUGAUGCGGCUGAUUCAAGAUUGGGAGGAGAGUUUUCAGAGAAAGAAAUGGAGUGUGUUCUCAUUCUGGGUUUGGCAUGUUGCCACCCGAACCCGCACCUGAGGCCAUCGAUGAAGACGGUUUUGCAGGUUCUUUCCGGGGAGGCAAAUCCGCCGGUGCUGCCAGCUGAAAGACCCUCUUUCGUGUGGCCGGCCAUGCCUCCAUCUUUCGUUGAGUCGGAUUACACUCAUACAGGAAGCCAACUUGAUCCAUUUUCAGAUCUCACAGGGCGAUAGACAGAAAGUGUGUGACAAUUGCAAUGACUUUUACAUUCUAAGGAAGCUUGUUUUUGGUAUUUCCUGGUGUGUUAUUAGCGUGUUGUAUAUAGCAACUGUAUAUUAUUCAACAAUAGUAUUUCCGUUGUCAGAUUUUGGAUUACCUUUUCAGAAAUGUUGUCCAAACUUGGAUUCUCUUUUGGAAAUGUCAAUUUUUCGUGAGUUCAUCGUAUAAAAUUUAACUUGCCAAUAUCUAUGUGCGAUUGUUGUUUUGCUUAUUGUGACAUGACACAUCAAUCAGACUCAGAAAUAUUGUACUAAACUAUUAAAGCCGCAAAGUUGUUGGCAAUUAACGAAGUAAUAAUGGGCAUAAGGCAGCAGCCAAAUAACAGAAAAAGAUGCUGAGAACGUUGCCAACUGACAUUUUUUCAGCAAAGAAGAAUGAAUUACUUACAGUAUGUGUAUUGCUGAGAAUGAUGUUUAAUUACAGAAGAAAUUGAUUUAUUGUAGACAAUAACAGCUGAAGGUAAUGAUGAACUUCAAUCUAAAGCUAUUCUUUAAGCGUCAAGUAUAAGAAAUCCUGAAAAAUGAAGAUGAAGAUCAUGGGGGAAAAAAAAUGUAAGUAGUAGAAAUUAAUUAUGUAUUGGAUGGGACAAAAUCUGAAAUUCUGAUUGGUUGUUGAGUUUCUAUGAUUGUAGCCCAUCAUUGAACCAGUCUAGCACCAUUAACCAUCAGCCUUUUUUUACCCGCAACCUUCCUAUCAAUUAAGAAUUAUCAGCUUUCAUUUUAGCAAAUAUAAGAAUAUAGGUUCUUGUUGAGUUACAUCAUCUUAAACUUACAUCAACCAUAUAUAAUUAAUUUAUUUUUUUAUAUAACUCAAUUGUUGCUUUUCAAAAAAUUGAGAGGUUAUAGGAAAUUGAUUUCGGGUCAGCUAUAAGCCUAUAAGUUAUAGAUCAUGUAACUCAGCAGCUGCCAAAAAUAUGACGAAGUUAAAAAGAUGUUGAGUUGUGACUCAUAUUUACCCCUAAAAGUAGUCACUUAACUUAUAUGAUGGAUAGGUCCAUUUUACUAAUAAGUUAGUCUUUUGAGUUAAGAUAUACAAAAAUUCUAGGUCCAACUCCUGGUCUAACAAUAAUUGUGUUCAAAGAGAAAUUGUUGAAUUAUAUUCUACAUUGACUAGUAAAAAAAAUUACUUGGACUUAUAAAUAAGAUAAAUUCUUUCACCUAAUAAAUUAGUCGAGCAAAAAAAAGUCAAAAAGUAAAAAGAAUGAGGAUAUAAAAAUGAUAAAGAUUAAGUUUAUCAUUUUUUUAAUUAAUUAGAAAAAAAAGACUUAAAGUUAAGGACCGGAAAAGUCAUUAGACAUUAUCAUCAAUUGGUGAAUGAUUUUUUUAAUAAAUUUUAAAAUAAUUUAUUGUAAUUGUCUUUAGGCACAUGAUGGGAGCCGCCACAUUUGAAAUAAAUAUUUUAGGAUAAGUUUUGGAAUACCUAACAUAACUUUUCCUUUUUUUAAGUAAUUUUUUUACUAAUGGAGGUUCUGCAAUGGAGCUUUAGAAAAAUAAUUAUUAGAUUGUUAAUGAAAAUUUUAUUAAAAAAUUAAAAAAUUAUUUUAAUAUACAAUUUUUUUUUCUACGUAAUGUUGUGAAAGGAAUAAAUAUAAUUAUUAAAUAAAAGAAAUAAAGGUAAAUACACCAUAAGGUUUGCUUAAAUAAUUACAUAGGCCCCAUUAAUUUAAUAAACCAAACAAUCACCUAAAUUUACCUAGCUGUCUAGGGUUAAUUAAGACAACUAUUAAACUCAACUAAAGUUGUUUUUUACCCAGAAAAUGUAGGUUUCGGGUUUUACAAAUUGUCAAUACUAACAGCAUGUCAUUUUAUGAAGUUAAAUUUGCGUAGGACCGAUUCCAAUUGAUAUAGACCAUUAAUAAAUAAAUAGUUGUACAAUCCAAUGUCUUAAUUGCCUGGCAAAAAUUAAUGAGCAUGAUUAUCUAAGAUUGAGGUUCAUGAGAUGAUGUGAUUAAAUUAUUUCAGGAGCCUUGCUUAUUGCCUACACAAUCAAGGUCAGAUGCCUUCACGUCAAUAUUCAUCUUAUUGAUGGUUUCUUCUCAGAGCCCUACUACAGAAUGGAAGGACAAUGACGUUCUUCUUCUUAUCACUAACUCGCUUAUUCUUUGAACUGUUGGAUAGGAUUCUUGAACCAGAUUAAAAGGUACAUUAUUUGACUAUUGAAUACAUCCUUAAAGAAAAACAAAAAUAUUAAAAUCAUUCAUUUUCCUUAGAUUAAAUUUCAUUGAAACCUCAUUCAAAUAAAAAGAAAAAAAAAAAAGACACUUGCACCUCCAAGAUUUGAGAAGAUGAUCAUAUAUAUACUCCUAAGUUUUUAAUAAAGGACACCAAAACGCUAAGGCCCUCUCUUGAUUAUAAUAGCAUUUGACUUUAUUAACUCAACAAAUUUACUCCAAUGUUUUAUAAUAAAUAGAAAUAUAAUAUUAAAAUAAAUAUAACAAUAUAUGCAUUUGAAAAUAAUUUCAAUAUUUAAAAAAAUUUAAAUACUUUAUAAUCUUAUAUUAUAUGAAACUAAAUUUUAUUAAAUAGAAACAUAAUGUUAAAAUAAAUAUAUAAAAAAUUAGAUUAUUUUCAAUAUUAUAUAAAAUAGUUUUGAUAUUAUUAACACAUGAGAUAUAUUUUAUUAAUUUCAAAAUCUAUUUAACCCACGAUUUAUUUUAAAUUUUAUAACAAAGACAAAUAUGUUACUAUAAUAAAUAUAGUAAUUUACAUUUUAAAAAUUAUUUUAUAGUUUAAAAACUUUUAUAUUAUUAGUUACUAGACAAAUUAAACCGCUUAAAUAUUAGUUACUAGACAAAUAAUCUUAUCAUAGAAUUUUAAAAAUCUUUAUACGUAUUCUAUUAAAAUAUCAUUAAAGAUUUCCUUUUAUAACUUAAUAAAAUUUUGCUAGUGAAAUUAAGAUGAAUAUUGCAUUAAAAAAAAAUUAAAAAAGAGGGUCAAAAGUCGUCGGUCAUAAGAAAAUUCAAACAAUGAUACUGCAUCUGUCCCCUACUACGUGGAAAUAUUAUGAGGAACAAAAAUCACUUAGCCUCCGGUCAAAAUUAUAUGCGUUGGCGGCUUGGUGCAAUGAAUGAUUUGAUGAGACUGUUGUCCUCUUGCACCUUUGUUAACUUCUUGCAGAAUGCAACUUGCACCGAUGAAUUAAUCAAUUUUGAAAGCAAGUCUUUCGGGUUAAAUUGUUACCGUAUUAACAGUGGCGAAGCUAAGAGUAGGCUAACCCGGGCUGCAGCCGGGGUUAGCUUUUUGAAAAAAAAAAUAAUUAUAAUUUAUGAAUUUAUCUUCAUUAAUACUUAUAAAAAUAUAAAAAUAAAUAUAAUAGCCUACCCCAAAAUAUAGUGUUAGCUUCGCCACUGACCGUACAUAAAUAUUUUAUUGAGCAACUUCACCCAUGAGUAUGAUAGCAUCUCUCUCAUAAAUAAUUGAUCAUUAACUAGACAUCAUAUAUAAUUAUGUGACAACUUAACUUAACUUAAUUAUCAUAACAUAAAACAAUGUCACCCACUGUAUCAUUACUAUGUUACCAUAACCGAACCAUUUGACUCAUUGAACGAACAAACAUGAUCAUUUUAGUUCGAAGAUAACAAUUAAUCCUACGGUGAGUUCAUGGGGUUCUUUUUUUUUAUUUUAUAUAUAUAUAUAUAUAUCUGCUGUACGGCCAAGGCGGAUGUACGGUACAGCAGUUUUUUUGCCAAUCAUUACAUAUAAGCUGGGGUAUUUUAGGAAAUAAACUUUAAAAGGGGUGUUAUUGGGAUUUUAGUGGGGUGUUAAAAGCUUCAGUCAUAAGCCAUUUCUCUCGGAUCUUUAUGUAGGGAAUGAUAUAAUUGGCCCAACGAACGGCCCAAUUUCUUUCAGUUGACCUUUUAUUGAGGAAGCCAGUCCCAACUACUAAAACAUAAUGGCGGUUCUCAGUUUUAGGAUCACAAAGCCGACAAAAGUUUAUUUCUAUAAAAAAUAAAAAAUUAAAUUAUAUCCAUAUACUACAAUUAAUAAAUGGGUAAUUUUUAAAAACCUCCCCUGAGGUUUGGACUUGUUGCAAGUAGAUGGCGAGAAUUGAUUUAUUUGUAAAAAACCCCCUACCGUCAGUUAAGUUUAACAUUGACCGUUAGUUGACCGUGCAAAGACAAUAUUACCCUUAACAAUAGUUUAUAAACGAAAAUAACUAAAAAAAAACCAAAAUUAUUAGCUAUUUUACACUUUUUAAAUUAUUAAUAUUUUCUUAAAGUUCUUAUAAAAAAUUAAAAUUAAAAAAUUAAAAAAUCCUCUUUAAAUUAUUGAUAUUUCCUUAAAAUUCCUACAAGAAAGAUAAAAUUAAAAAUUUAAAAAUGAAAUAGUCAUAAUCUUUACCUAUGAUAUUGUAAAUUUUUAGAAUUGACAAGGAUAAAAUUGUCAAAAAAUAGGGUUUGUGCUUUUUGCACCAAUAAUUUUGGUUUUUUUUUAGUUAUUUUUGUUUACAAACUAUUGUUAAGGGUAAUAUUGUCUUUGCACGGUCAACUAACGGUCAAUGUUAAACUUAACUGACGGUAGGGGGUUUUUUAUAAAUAAAUCAAUUCUCGUCAUCUACUUGCAACAAGCCCAAACCUCAGGGGAGGUUUUUAAAAAUUACCCAAUAAAUCAAUUCUCGUCAUCUAUUUGCAACAAGCCCAAACCUCAGGGGAAGUUUUUAAAAAUUACCCUUUUAGUAAACUCUAAAGUGAAGUAACUAAUUAACGAACAUGUAGGCAAAGUCAACAAAAGUGGAUGUCUGUAUGAGUCCAAGUUUCGUUGGAAGUUCCGAGGAAAAGCAAGCGAUCAAACAAAAUUAUAGAGGCGGAGGUGAUACUUGUCAUAACUCAUAACAAGGUCCAUCGAUUACUAGUCAACAUUAGUUUGUGCGAGGAAAAUGUGCGUAAGAGUUUGUAUAAGCAUUAUACCAUGUAGAGGUCAAUAACUUCCAAAAAUCAAGUUGUAAAAUUUAGUAUAUCUGCAAGUCAUGAGAUCAGAAUACGGGAAUUCAACUCCAACCUUUCAUAGAAGAAUUAGAAUUUGUUCAAAUAAGUAAUUUUAUAAUAAUUUAUCCCUUAUUUUUAGAGUAAGGAGAUACGUUAAAAGAUAGUAUACACUUUAAUACAAUAUAUUUUAUCUUAUAAUAUAUUGAAAUAUAUAUAUUUGUCUAACUUGUCACUUGCUUUAUUUUCUUAGGGAAAAUGACACGUAAACCCCCAAAAUAUGGCGAAAUGGUCAUCAAGACCACCAAGUUUUCAAAAAGGGAUACUAAUACCUAUUUUUUACUACAAUAACCUUUAAAUAUAGUAAUUAGAAAAUUGACUUUAAAGUUUUUCAAUUAAUAAGAAUUUAAUAUAAAUAAUAUAAUCUAUCUAGUGGACUAAUAAAAUUAAAUUAUUUUUAACAUUUAAAAUAAUAUUAAAAUUUUAAGUUAUUAUAUUUAUUUUAAUAAUAUAUUUGUAUUUAUUAUAAAGAUUUUAAAUAAAUUUUUGAGCUAAAUAGAUUUUAUAAUUAACUGCAUUUAAAAUCUAAAACAAUAAAAAUAAUAUAAACAAUAAGAAAAUUAUCAGUCAUAUACCCUUAAAUGACAGCAGUAUCAAACGUGUGUGAACACUUUUUAAGUGUAUCACUCAUAUACCCUAAGUUGACAAAACACUUCUGCCGUCCACCAAUCUGUUAACUUCCGUUAGAAAGUUAAUAGAAUUGUGGCAAAUUGACUAUUUUGCUCUUGAAACUCAAAAUGAGGUAAAAAUAUAAAUUUACCCCAAAAAUUAACGUAAUUUUCAAUACACAAUUUUUUUUAUUUUGUUAUUAACAAUACAUUUUUUUGAUUAAAAAAAUAAAUUAUUAAUGGUACAUAUUAUUAAUAAUUAUCCAUAAAAAAUAUUCAUAUUAUACCAUAAAAAAUUAUUAACAACAUAUUAUUUACAAUUAUAUAUAUUAUACCAUAAAAAUUUCCAGUUGGAGCUUGGAGGAGUAGAUUUUUAAAAAUUUAGGUUAAAUUUUCUGCUGUACGGCCAAGGCGGAUGUACGGUACAGCAGGUUCUAACAGAUUUUAAAAUAUAAAAAUAUUUUUUUAAAUAUUAAAAUUAUUUUAACAUGAAAGACCGCCUUUCAAUUAAGCAGGAAGCCAACUUUCACAAUUUUUGUAAAUCGCAGGGAGACAGACAAAAUGCGUAGCAGUAGCGAUAAUUUUUAUAUCCUCAAGAAGCUUGUUUUUAAUAUUUACAUAGCCACUGUAUUUUACGCAACGACAGUAGUUAUUUAGUCAAAUUUUGAAUUACCUUUUCAGAAAUGGUGUCAAAAAUUGAAUUCUUUGAUAGGAAUGUCAAAGUUUACAUGGGGUUCAGCUAUAGUGCAACUGUGGUGCCAUACCACACUUGCUUCCAGCCGUUGGAUCCAGCUUACGGCAACAACUGUAGCUGAAUCUAACGGCUGGAAGUUUUGCCCUUUUGCAUGUAGUUAAUUGUAUAAAAUUGACUUGCUGAUAUAUCUGUGCGAAGGCUGUUUUGCCUCUUAUGACAUGACACCUCAAUCAGAUUUGAAAAAAAUAUUGCGCUAAGGCCAUACAGUUGUUCGUCAUUAAACAAGUAAUGAGCACAAGGCGGCCAAAUAUGAAGUUAAUAUGAAAAGAUGCCAACUGAAUUUGUUUCUGCAAAGAAUGAAUGAAUAAAUUACAGUAUGUGUAUUACUGAAAAUGAACUUUAACUACAUAGAAAUUGAUUCAAAAUCUUGCUACUACUAACACAAGUGCUUGAGGGACGAACAGCAGCUACAAGUGAUAAUGGCUUCAAUCUAAAGCUAUUCUUUAACAGUCAAUUGUAAGAAAUACUGAAAGACAAAUGAGAAAAGCUCAAUCAUAAUCAAUUUGCACUGUCAAAUCUUGUACUCCUAAAUCGUGGUAUAAACCAUGCACAAAUUGAAGUAUUGGGCGGUCAUCCACUCCCUUAUUAACCUGUUUGCAUCAUCCACCAAGGGAAAUCACUAAAUUACAAAUUUUCAUGACAUAUGGCCAAAGUUAAAGAUAUUUUAGAUACCCAAAUGGCUAAUAACUUGCUGCAUCGUCUUGAAUACACAUAAAACAAAAUUUUGGCAGCAUACCUGAAGUGAGAGAGAACCAACAACAUGGCCAGGCACUAGCUCCCAAAAACGGGCUUGGGAAACUUCUGUAACAUCUUCCCGAGAAACAAUCUGUCCAAAGUAGAAUUUCAAAUAAGAUACUACGAACUAAACAAGAAAGAAAUAGUCUGAUGGAAACUUAUACUUUCAAAUAAAAAAGGAAAGAAAAGAAUCACCUGUCUCCAACAUUUACUCAAUGCUGAAGACGGAAUGCUAGGAGGUGCCAUCUGAAGCAAGAUACCACCAGUCACUUUGAAAAGUGGCAUGACAAGCAUGAAGACUGCAACUGAAACUAUCCCCAAACACAAAACUUCAGCAUUCUGGACCCUGCAGGGAAAGGAAAUCAGAAUCCAAUAAUUAAAUUGAAGCCUGCAAUCAACCCUGCAAGGAGAAAAUAUCUCUCUGUCCAUACAUGAACAACACUUGUGAGAUGGUGCUUACCCACCGCCCACUUUAAAUUUAAAAACAAAAUGAACAGAGACUUACCCAAGGGACAAAAACCAAGAUGCCAAUAUCAAACCUGCACUGCAAAUAAUAAUUGUAAUCCAGCUUAAGAUCGAUGUGGAGAAUAAUCUGAAAUGAAGCUUGAGAAAGAGCAAGAGCAAGAGAAAGAGAAAGAGAGAGAGAGAGUAUUACACCUGCGAAUAGAAUCUGCAAGAACAUGCAAGCAAACUGAGUGGUAAUUCAUGUCUUCUGGGCUCCGGUAAACUGUGACAAAAUAUGCAUAUCAGAUGAAUAAUCAGAAGAGUUAAGGAACAAAGACUGUGUCAUUGACUCAGUCCUCAACCUAGAGAAAAUAAUGUUCCCUAUAUGCCAUAAUCAAAGCUGCUAUUCAAUAUAUAAAACAGAGAUCCCGGUCAAUAAAAAUGUGGGUCUGUUGGCAUGGUGAAUUUAAAGAGUCUGCUGAACGCGUCCACCAGUCCAAGUACGAACCCCAAAAGAUUCUCGAGAAGCAUACUAACUCUGAGAUUUCUUCGUUCAUCCUUCCCGCUUGAGAGCUCUAAUCUUCUGGCAAGAAGCAGCUACAAUCUCCCAAUGACAAUGCCCUUAUAUUCAAGACUCUUUAAUAAUUUACAAACUAAGCACCAAUGCCAGAUGAAGAAGCUCUUCCAGAGAGUUCUUCACUGCCUGGUGCUGGUUAUCCGCAUAGAAGAACCCAUCCAAAUUCUUCAUUUUAUCAAAGCCUUGAAUUCUUCAUUAAACCCUGAGUGGAAGGCAUAAACAUGGGUUCCCUAUUUAUGUGAAGUUUUAAGGAGGUUAAUUUACUUAAGACUUUGUGUUCUAUGUUUACCCCCACUUCUUAUCUAGAAACUACUCUUGACUUUUAGAGUCUCUAUCCCUAUUGGGAAUACCCCAAAGAAUCUCCUAAUUAGACUGAUUGGGAUAUAGAACAAUUAAAUAGUUUAUAGUUUGCUUUUUCAACUGUCUGACCGCACGGUUUAUCAAAACCAUGCUGGGUAACUCAUCACGUCAUUAAUACAUCAUACAGAAACUGAAAAACUCAAAUCAAGAUAUCAAAAAAUCAGUCAGGUCAUUAGAUGAAUUUAAAAAAACUUGUAGCAGUCCCAUCUAACACAAAUCAAGAUGAUCACUUAAGCAUAUAUAACAGUGCCACCACACUUACAAAGAUUAAUGCGAGCAUAAUUCCUGAAGAACCAAACCCCUAUAAGAUUUACCAAUAAGUUUGUUACUGCUGAAACAAUCAAAUAAUGCCUGCAAGCAAUCAGAUUGAUCAGCCACUACUGAAAGAAAUUCAAUAAACCAAAAGAAAUCCUAAAAAAGCGAAAUAGAAAUACAAGAGUCAACAGACUUCAUAAAGAUCAAUGCAUCCACUUCUCUAGAUUUACCAAGUUUGUUAUAGCAUCGCUAAAAAAGCUAAGAUUGAACCAAGAAACUUACUUGUGCUCAGAUUCGUCUUGUAUGAAUGCAUGAAGUGCUUCGACAGCCAAGGAGAAUGACAUGAACAAAAGAAACAGCUGUCUAAACAAGUAGCAAACUGACAAAACAUCAAAAUGGAGGCCAGUCCAAAAAUUUCACAGAAAAGAAAAAUAAGAAAAAGAACAUGUGACAUAUGGAAAACCUUUGGAUAUGCAAAAUAAAGAGGGACUGGAAAAAAAGAAGUAUCAGAAUCAAAUCCCACUCACACCAAAUUUUGAUCAAUUCUUUUAGGUUCACGAGAGUUUUAGCAUAUAUGGCAAUUAUUGCUUUCGUUGGGAUCAACGUUCGUGAAAAUUAUCUUCAAAUGAAGAACCAAGUUUUGUCAAUUUUUAAGAGCUGAUAAUUCUAGUAUUAAAAUUCAUUCAUAAUGAAAGAGCUUACAGUGGAAUACAGGUGCUUUCAAACACAAAUUGUAAUUUUUAAACAAUCAUUGUCUCAUCCUUCAAAAUUUUCUCAAGUUCAUUACGUUAUACUUGUUACUUAAGAGAGAAACCGAAAGGAAAAUCAUGCCAACUACAGUUUAAUGCUAGCAGGUUGUACAGAAAACAAUAUAUAAGAACAUUAAAAAUGAAAGAAAUGUAAUAUACUUACAGCAUUGGUAAAAGCGGACAAAACUUCAAGCCUUUUGUACCUAAGUAUUGAAAAUAAGCACAAUAGUUACAAGCUAAUCAUUUACAUUCAUAUGCAAAAGUUUCAGCAAGAGUGAAACACAUAUAUUGUCAAGUGACUUCCGUAUAUUAUUAAAAUUCAAACCAUGAAAGCUCUAACGCAUUGACUAUGCAACUCUUUAUACAACUCCAUGUAGACAGAGGCACAGAGCUGAGCAAAUAUUUGUCUAUCAGCAAUUCUAUGUUUCUAAUGGGAAUUUUAACAAAAUGUGAACUAACAACUUGUAUAACCAUUACCCGUAAGUAUAAGCAAAAUCAGGCUUUUGUCUCGAAGCAGCCAUGGCAAACAUCGAAAACGUCAACAAUCCACAGCCGAACGUCAAAUGAAAUGCAUCAGACACCAAACCUAAACCGCAUAAAGCAAAAAUUAGUAAAAAUAUAGAUAAAUUUAAAAAAAAAGAAAAAAGAAAAAAAUUCUAAAUUCAUACCAACGCGGCCGGUGAAGAGUCCAAUAGCCAAUUCAGCUGUAGAAUAAGCAACAUUAAGCGAAAUCAACAGAAACAAUCGCUUCAUCUGCCGAUUCCCGGACCUUAAGGCGCGAAAAAUUGAGAAUUUAUCGAAGUACUUGUCGUGGUGAGAAAUUGUAUCUAUGUUUGAAAUUGAACGAGAAAGAAAGGGCUUUGCUGAUUCGUCUGGGAAUAUUGAGAUUGGCGUGUGUGGCGGCUCUUGUAGCUGUGACUGGUUGUACGAAGCCUGCCGCACGUACGCUAAUCUGCGAUCGGUUAUACUCAAUCCUAAAUUGGAUUCUUGUGUGUGGUACUUGAAUGAUUUGGUUUUCUCCAUUGCUUUUUUGAAGAAAUUGGAAUCGAAAAUAUAAUAAUAUCAAUAAUAACAAAUAAAAAUUUAUGAAUUUUUUCUUUUUUUAAAAAAAGAAAAAGUAAACAGUAAAUACAGAAAAAAAAUGAAAAGAAACGGAAAGACGAUGAAAUCAAAGCUCUCCUUCAGAAGAAGAAAGGAAAGGCGAAAUGGAAGAAGGCGACGAAGACGACUUCGACUUGUACACUUGAGUCUGAAGUAAACGAAGCGAGUAAACUCAGUUAUACGAAGUUUCUUGGCAUUUAUCCAAUUCGUUCAUAUGGUUUGCAAAAGUGACAAAUAGAUCCAUGAACUUCUGGCAAUUAGUUCAUGAGGAAUUUGCACCGAUACGGCUAUUUACCCAAAACUUACAAAUUCAACACUAAUUAAACAAAACAAAACAAAAACUUAAACUUAGAAAACCAAUCUUAUGAUAAAUGUGGAAGAAAAAUGCAGCUUGUUAAACAUGAAUGUGAUUUUUAAACUACUUUGGGAUAUGUCUAUUGAAAAGUAUUGAAUUUUAUGUGAAAUUAAGUAAAGAGAUUCAUAAACUUUUGUAAAGAGAGAGAUUAUUCUUGAUGAGAGGGGUAUUUUAGAUAAAAUACCACCAAAAUAUCAUAUACAUUAUAUUAAGAAAAUGUUGUCAUAUUUAUGCAAAGUGAAAAUUAUUUUAUUAUAUAUAAAUAAAAAAAGCCCUCAAUAUUUUAAAAUGACAAUAUUGUCCUGAGUCAUUUUUGUUUUACUAAAUUGAAUGGUAGGGAAGAAAGAACGUGUAUACUUAACAUAGCAGUUCUUUUUUUUUUUUUAAAUUGUAUGUGUAUACUUAAUAUAACAAUUCUUUUUUUGUACUAUAAUUUAUUGUGUUUCUUCCCCUUUUGUCUGUGUUUACCUUUUAUAAAAUUCAUAAUUUUCUCAAAUUGUUAUCAUUAUUAUUCAAUUUUCGAUUCCAAUUUCUUCGAAAAAGCAAUGGAGAAAACCAAAUUAUUCAAGUACUACAGUAACUACACUCAAGAAUACAAAUUAGGAUUGAGUGCAAAUGUGGAUUCAUUUGUUACUUUUUUAAAAAGGCUGGGGUAAAAUUGCUAUUUACCUCUACUUCCUAGAAUGGGCUUCGCAUCUUGGAUGAGUUUGAACGCAAAACGGGCAAGCGAGUACCAAACAUUUUGGGUUAGCCCAGCAAAAUUUGUUGGGCAUUAUUUUUUAAACUUUAAUUAUCUUUUUUAAAUACAACUACAGUACUACUAAUAUUUUAUAAUAAGAUUUAUUGGGACCAAUCUUACGUUAUUUCUAUUAUGAUACGUCGAAAUUACUGCCCCCAUUGUAUAGGGAGAAAACUACUUUCACCUUGGGAAAAAUUGCAGGGACUCACUUCAUUAAUUAAUUUAUGCCAUGUCAAUUUGUAUGACAAAUCUCCAAAUUAAUAUCGUAUACUUAUAUUAUAAUCUUUAUAGUUUUUAUUCUCAAUACCCGAUUAAUUUCAAUUUUGUUAAAGAAACAACACACCCCUUAGCCUCAAGGGGUUGAACGAAUAAUUUUGAAGCCGUUUUCUUUAACUAUUCACUCCAGUUUGAGUCAUAGGUGAGGUUAAGGAGCAAAAAUUUGAUUUGAGUACUGUCGACAAAAUAAAAAUAACAAACUGCUUAAUCAGGUGGUUGGUGGCUCAGUCUCUCCAAACUUGGGAGCACAUAUCACCCAACUGUAGGUGCAUAUUUCUCAGGCCGUGUUAUAGCAACAGUCAAUGAAAAUUGAUUUCUGUUAUUUAAAAUAAAAAUGACUUCUGUUUUUCAUAAGAUCCAGACUGAAGAAAAAAAACUGAAAAUUGUUAUUUGCAAGUUCCAACAACAUGCUUAACCAAAAUGAUUCAAAUGUUAAUCCACACGAACUAACCUUAAGGUUGGACGUAACCCCUCCUAUGUACAGAAAAGCUCCGAAUUUGCUGCAAAAACUUCCCAAUUUCUCUAGGUUAAAAGCUCUUGCUCUACUGAAAAUUAACGAAGCAGUCGCCUAUUCCGAUGCCAUACACUUCAUUAUUAUGGGGACUUCAUUCAUCAAAGAGCCUUGAUGAUUGAUCAAAAUAACAUUAGGCUGAUAUCCAAAAGGUACAGUGGUGCAAAUGCUGGAAAAGAGAGAGUUGAGUUUUAAUGUCCUGUGGAAAACCAGAGUGUCACUUGAUAAGUAUGCUUUCCAACUUUCAGGCUUCUAUCGCUAAAUGAGCUCUGAAACCGGCAAAACAAAAGAAAUGAAACCAAAUUCUUUGGUUGUAAAAGAUUAUAUGAAUUGCAAUUGGAAAAGAAAUAAAUACACAAUAAUAUAUAUAUACAUGUCAUCAUAGAUUUCAGCAGAUAGGAUAUAAACCUCUAUAUAUAUAUAUAUAAGAACAAAAACAAUUUAAGGCCUCGUCUAGGUAUUCUGUGUAUUUUAUGAAAAACAGAAAGCCUCAGCACUAGAUACCCUCAAACAUUAGACGGAGCCACAAUAACAAUAUAUAUGCCAGCAUUCACUUACGUAUGGUGAUUCAUUCCGCGAGAUACAGAAUCACAUGUCAGGAUUGCAAAUGAUAAUCAAGAGAAAAGGCACGCAUAUCAGAAGGACUUGAUCCGGGCCUGCAAAUGAGUGUCAAGAAAGAAAAUUAACUUUGAGAAAAAAUUCAUAAAGAAUGAACAAAUGAACUAGUUUCAUUUUACUUACGAAAGAUUGAAUUCUAGAACAGAGUAAAUUGAACUUAUUGAUUCAGGAUUUUACAUUGAAAGCUCUAAGAAAGUUAACAUGACGUUAGUAAAAAAAAAAAAAAAUCUAAAUGGAAAUAUUGCCCACAUACAAAGUAAAUUACCUUUUAUUUAUGGUACCAUAGUGAAAAUUAAGUUUUCCCAUUCUAAUAUCAUCAAUGUACUGCAGCACGAGAUAUACAAUAAAACAGCAUAAGAUAAUAUGAGUAAUGCAAGAUACUAAUUAGAGAGACAUAUUAAUGUCAUAUGUUCAAAGUAGAAUCUCACCAAUUGUAAGGUAACAGAGAUUGAUGAAAAUGCCAGAGAAUCAAAAGGUAUCUCAUCAAGUGCAAAAAGCCGGCACUCUGAUGAUUCUGGACCAGGAGAGAAGUGAGGCCUUUUUAGCUUGGCUAAGAAUAUUAUGUAAAUCUGCUUCAACCAGGGAUUGGACAAAUAAAUGAAAAAAUUAAGCACCUGCAAAGGAGAUAAAUUAAGAUAAUAGGAGGGUUCUUCCAUACUUGGCCUAUACGAGGAAUGUCCAGUUGAGCAAAAGGUGACUGCACUUCCACAUCUGCACGUGCCUCUUCCCAGGUUUCCCUGAUUGCCCCUUCUGCAGCCGACUCGCCAAUUUCCAUGUAACCAGCAGGAAGAGUCCUAUGUUAACAGCAUGCAGUUACGGGAAAAAAAUAUCCAGUGAGCAUCAAUGAUAAAAUGAAGAAAAAAUCACCAUUAACAUCUCAGAUUGUUAAUGCCCCUGAUUCUUUAUUCUUUAGAGGGAGUUGGUGAAGAGAAGGAACACACAGGUGGAUUCUAUUCGUGAUCAAAACUCCAGUGUACGUACCAAAGACCAUAAGAUGGUUCAAUUUUUCGCUUGCAAAGUAGGAUCUUCUUAUCAUGCUCAAUGAGGCAGCCUACAACCUAUAGCAAUCAAUUUUGAACAAAUGUUAACAAAUCUUGCAUGACAUUAAUACCCACAGGCAACUAUUCACGUUAUUCAACAUUAUGUUUCCUUAUUUUGCAUAUUUACUCACUCUAAUUUACAGCAAAUUACGGCAGUAUCUCCAGACUUCUUUUAAAAUACAAUAGAAAAAGUUAAAAAAAAAUCAUAAAUCAAAUUAUAUCUCCACACUUUCCAAUGUAUUAUCAUACAUCUCAAUAGCCCACCGUAGUGACACCGGUAUGGAAUAUAAUAAUAAUUCACAAAUGUUGUGAUACCGUGUCCCAAAAGAAUGAUAAUUUGAUCAACCCAAAAUUUAGUUUAGAACAUACUCUGCCACUCAUUAAAUUAUUUGGCACAUGAUGAUACAAAUAAAUCCUGUGAUUGAUAUCCUGCCAAUGCUCAUAUUGCAAUCAAUGCAAUCUUUGAAUGCAUAGUUUUAUUCACAUCGUGAACUGAGAAGCUAGAUGAAAUAGUUCUUCAGUGAACUUACAAGAAACCACUAUAAAUAUACUUAACUUUGCACCAUCCAGAACAAUUUCAAUCAAAGCAUAAUAAUAAUUCUCCUUCCCAUAAGAUUUCCAAAAAACACCCAAGUGAAAACUAAAAAUAAAAAGGUCAUUUACUCAAUGCUGAUCUGAAAACUCAAAUCUUUAACUACAUUCCGAGUAAUAAAUGCCAUGCAACUGCAAUAACUGACAGAAAGCAACACCAAUUGGAACAAUCAACGAUAGACCAUACCAUUUUCGGAUUUUGAUAAGCAAUUUUCCCACAAACUGUGCAAAUGGCCCUCAUUUUCUCUUCUCCAUUGGGUACCUCAUGCUUGGUUUGACCUCCACACCACUGACAAAAACUGAUCUUGCGAACAUUGCCCUAACAAAACAUACAUACAAGUUAAACUACAAGAAGUGAGAAUAAAGAGCUCCUAUCUCCUCAUAUAAGUAAUUACCCGAUUUGAGCUUAUUUAAUAAACUCGCUCUCAAAAUUACACCGAAUUCAAGAUUUUUACAUAAUUCAAAUGGAACCCAUUUAAGUUAAGGACAUAAACUACCAGAAAAAACUCACAGCUGAAUGAACUGCAGCUGAUGAAGGAUGAGAAGAAGUGGCAUCUUGGUUUGACUCAGACCUAGUUGCACACACUCGACUCGCUCUAAAACAGCGGGUUCUCCGAGUCAAAAACGCCGGCGAGACCAAAGAAUCUGUCUUUGAUACAAUUUCAUGUCUUCUUGCAGUAGAAUACGGUAAUGGGUUUGUUGAAACUGCGACAAAUGAAAGGCCGUAACAGCUAUUAUGUGAUUUUUUUAAUAUAAGUGAAAGAAACCCAGAUGAAGAACCCAGAAUCUGUACAGAUUUUAGCAUAUUUCACGACUGUAUCGUGAAUGUUUGAAAAUUUUACAAGGAAAAGAUUAAAAGAGGGAGUUAGCUGAAGCCAAAGAAACUGAGCGUUUUCUUGUUUCUGUGAUGAAUGAUGAUUGGAUCAGUUCGGUCAAGGCAAAUGCCAGCCAGCGAGAACCCGCGCCGAUAGAAUUUCUGAAAACUUGUGACAAGUUGAUAUUUGUCCAAAAAUGAGGGGUCACUUGAAAUUGACCUAUUUUGCAAGUGAUUUAUCACCAUCCCAUUAUAAACACUUGCCGCAAAUUUGAUUAUUGAAAAAACAACAAUAAACAAUACAUUCCAAGAUGAUAACAGGAAAUUUGGAAAUUCCAUGUCAUUCAUAUUGUUUAUUUAUUCCAAAAAUAAUAUAUUUAUGGUACAACUCAAAUUUAAAACAUAAAGAAAGAAUACACAGUAAACAUAUAAACUAUAGCUAUGAUUUGAUAAAUCUGGCCUUGUAAAAUCACAUGCCAUUGCUAUAAUUGGAUUAUCAUGGCCUAUUACAAGGUUUAGAGAACCUAUUCUACGCAUUCAAGCACCAUUGCCUGAAAACUCUAUAAACUACGAAAAUUUUCAAUCUCGAUUUGAUAAAUAAGCAUGAUACAUGUACUGGACUGCCCACAGAACUUCAGUCAGUUUGAUGGAACCCUUAAUCCACAGCCAGCUUAUCGCACAAAGAUUGAUAUGCUGCACUGCAAAGCUUGAAUUUUUCCUCUGCAACAGCCUGUACAAAUUAUGUCAAUGGUUUUCAGCCUUAGAACAAAUAAAUUUGCUUUGAAUAGUAUGCCUAAGAGUUAAGACUAUGACAGCUGAUGCAAUCAAACAUUCCCAUGAAAAUGGCUAAAAGAGAUUGUUUAAUUAGGAAAGCAGUUUAUUCAUAGUGAAAUGUGGACCGUGCAUUAAGAUGCUCUUAUAUCACUGUUUUCUAUUCGAAAAGUUCGAUAAACUGGAAUUCCUGAUUGAUGGGGAAAAUACCUUUGAAGACCCUUGAUGACGAUCAGGAUGCCAUUUAAGUGCACAGGCUCGAUAUCUGUAAUUGGAGAAGCAAGAUGAAGAUCAGACAAAUGAGGAAAAAUUUUCCAGUUGGCAAUAGCGAUGCUUGGGAAAAACUGGAUAAUCUUCAAGAGCAACUGAGCAGUGACAUAAAUAAUCUAUCAAGAACUUACGCAAGUUUAACAUCCUCAAGUUUUAGAGGACCAGAAGCACGUAGUCCAAGAGCCUGCCUGUCUGAAGCCAUAUCUGACUCUGAACCCUCUGACUCCUCUUCAAACUCAUAAUCCUCUUCCACUCGGAAUCUCCAGUUCUGACGAUCCCGAGAUCUCCAGUUCUGAUGAUCCCAAUAAUUAUAACCAUAACUAUAUGAGCUCCUCCGUCCAGUAUUAUCUUCGUAAGUGAAGGACCAAUGAGAGCGUUGUCUCCUGCCAAAUAGAGAUUCAAAGACAUGCUCUAUGUCAACAAAGCCUUCAUCUUCAUCUAGCUCUUCAUUAAUCCAGGCACCUCCUAAUCAAGUGUUCAAAAUACAUAAAACAUCCAAAAGUUAGUGAGCCAUUCAUAUAUUUAAGCUUACAGGAUAGAAAUUUUAUAUUAUAUCAGAUUCAAGUCCUUGAGGUGUUCUUACUUCUACCCCCACCGUGGUGUCCCUGAUAUCGGGUCUGUUUGGAUCUCCCAUAGUCCUUUUUAAACCACGAUGUGCCUCUGCUUGACGAUGGAUCAUCAUCAUUUAUAUCCUCCUGCCAGUGCUGAAACACACAAAAACAACUUUCAUAUGUCACAAGAUCCCUUUAUAACGAAAAGCCUUACUACUAUAAUAAAAAUCAACAGUUCAGCUUGUGUCAAAUUCCAUGAGAGUAAUGCUACACCAAGAGAUUUCAUAAUUACAGCUCCAUGGACUAUUGGAUAGACCAAGACCAACACAAUAGGGUCAUGCGCAACUACAAAAUUUACAUGACACCAAUAGGAAACAACUCAUAAUAAUCAAAAUAAAUUUAUCUUUCUUCAGACAUACAUUCUGUAUGGUCAUUUUUCUUUUUACGGGUUUGCACCAUCUCACUCAUUAUAAAGAUGGAUGCAAUAUUGGCAAACAAAUAAAUUGACCAAAUUAUGAUCCUGAAUAGAGAAUUUUCACAAGGUCAUAAGGUAAUCAGUGGCGCAAUUCAGAUCUUUAAAAAUUCAUGAUGUUUUGAAUCAACAGUUAAACAGGGAACUAUUUUCCAUCUUUAACCCAUGCCCUAAUUCUGCAUAUCUGCAAUAGUUUCAAUGCCUCACCACCUCAAUCAUCUCUAACUUUCUAUCAGUUAAGCAUAAUAAAACAAGGCAACACACAAAUCUGAAGUGAUGACUAUACAGAGUAGCAGUGCCAUAUCAACUCUAAUAAUCCUGCCAAACUUGAAGCAAACCCCUUUAUGUAGAUCACAUCAAUCAAAACAAGGAAACUUAAGCACACAUAUCCUCUCCGGGACUGGACCAGUAUCCCAAUGAUAACCUUUGCAGCAUGACAAAAUCAUCAAUAGCCCAAAAUAGUCCCUAAGAUACUAAAGGCAGUACUAUAUGCACAAACUAUCUGCAGACAUAAGGCACACAGUUAGACUCAGAUGAGUCUAUUCCAAGUGGCAGUUUGGAUGGUGUGACAUCUGUUUUCCAAUCAAGAGAAUGGACUGUUUGAGCUUGAGACAACCUUGGAGCUGCCUACCUAGAACAUUAUAUUAUACAAGUUACCUUAGGAUUCAAUAGGGGAUUUCUGGACUGCCACAAUGAACAUAAACCUACCAAGACUUUGAUUACUACUUCUCUAUGCAAGACUAGUAAGAGCUGUUUCACUGAUUCUGAUCCCCCAACUUCCAAAGCCAGAUAGGAAGGCAAGCAGAAACUCUCUAUUUCAUCAUAAGAAACACUCAGAGUUGUUUCAUUGUAAUGAUUAUAACCAUACUUGAUGUCCAUGAAAUAAGCAUCCUCAUCAUUUUCAAGGGACAAAAUGGAGCUAGGGUGUAAACAAUUCCAUAUUUAAUAGCAAGCACACAGAUAUAUAGAUUCGUGGAGAAUCAACUCAGAGUGUUGAGUUCCAUAUUAGCGAAUUUGAGGAAAUUGAGAGGCUGAUACAUGGCUUAAGGAUUUCCCGAAUUGGUCUUGAACACGUUAUCAAGGGCCUCACAUGUGCGCCAGCCUUGCCAAAACUCCCCAGAUUGCUAGAUUUGAUAAAUGUUUAAUUCUAAUGAGAAAAACAUUGGUAGUGUAAAUGGAUCAUACUUAAUAUUCCCUGUUUACUUUACAUUACCUUAUAAGUAAGCCCUGUGUCAAAGCAGGGGCCUUCUCAAGCUAGCUAUAGCUAUGCACCUGUCUAGUAAUAAAAAAAGAAGUGCCUAAGAUUAAAAACAGAAACUUCAGAUCCUGAUGGGAAACAAUUAAUAAAAUAAAGUAAUUAAAAAAAUAAGAGGAAAAUUCCAUAAUCCUGCUAGAAACCGUUUGGAUUCCCAAAAAGAAAUUAAUUAUUUAAACAAAUCAAUUAUAAAGUCUAACAACCGCAAGCAAAACGAACAUGAUCAGGAACUCGAGUUUAAAAACUAGGGGAUAUAAUUCAACGAGGAAUGGAGGAAUAAGUAACUAUGAGAAACAUAAGGAGACGAAAAGAUAAUAGUAGCACAACCAAUUAUCACUAUAAAUAUUAUAAAAAAAUUAGCGACCUGCAAACUAACCUGAAACAGGUGGUCUGCAAAUGCACUAAUAUUACGCAAUAAUGAUUUCUUUGAUUGUACCCUUCUGAACCUUUUGGAAUAAGAGUUGAAAUUAUGAUGGGAUCUCUGCGUGUAAUCAAUUUAAGCACCACAUAAAUUCGCAUUUGACAUCAGAGCUAAUUAGGCAGAGAUAUCUGUUUGAUUUAAUAGAAAACUAAACAAAAACAACAGCAUAAUUAAUAGAAAGAGUUGCUUACAGUCUGAAAGACCAAUUGAACCAUUAAACAAGCUUAAGAAUAAAGCCAAUGCUUUAAAAUCAAAACUACAUAACAUUUCGUGCAAGGGCAAAACCAGCUACCUUGGUUAAAUUUACAACCAAAAGAUAGGCCAUUAUGACAGCAAAACCGAAGAUAGUCUACAAUCCUCUAAGAGAAUGUGAUUCACAUGGUAAUCAUGCCCAUCUUCGUCACAUACUGCUAAAUUCAAGUUUAACAACCUAAUCCUUAACUAAUCAUCGACACCAAUCAUGUUCUACAAUUUUUCUCUAUUUGGAAUUGCAUCUUGCGCUAUGUCUAUCAUGCUGUCUCUCAAAACUCCUAAAGUAGAAUUUGUUGACCAUUCACGCUACAAUUGACCUCUUUAAGCGUGAAUAAACUAAAUAAUCACAACCUUCAUUAAACACUCUUUCCAUUCAUAACACAAAAUCUUCUAAUCAAGAACCCAGAACUGUUUGAGAUUGUUUACAUAAUUCUCAUAACAAGCAGAAGAAUUAAACAAUAAUUGGUAAAACUCUACCCUUGAGAAUAAAUCCCCAAAAAUUAAAGUCGAAGGACUCAUAUACAAUUUCCCAUUACCCUUUCAGAUUCACACCAAAAAAAUAAUUAAUUUUUUCCCACCUCACGUUACAUUAAUAUCCUAGAAACGUAAAAAUAAAAUUCAAUACGAAAUAACUUGAAAGAUUUGAAAAAAAAAAUCUUUUUUUCCUCCCACGAACCAAUGCCAAUCAAACUAUGGAGACAUAAACAAAAUACACAAAACCCACAUAGGAAGUACAGAGAAAAUGAUAACGAGACUAACGGGUGUAUGCCAAUGACUGCGCCUUUUACGUUCAAGGACAGGAGUGGAAUGGAAGAGAGCUGCCCGCAGAUUAAUAAAGUGGUUUUGUGGGUUAAAAAUGGCUGCUUUUACAGCAAUAUUCAUUUUCCAAAAAUUUUGCAAAGUGAUCCAGAAAUUUGGGAGAAACAGAGUGUUUGUGUAAAGCUUCUCCGCUAAACUGGUAGCUGAAAAAAUGAAUUAGGGAAGAGAACCAUGGGCGAGUCGACGGAGAGGCGACCCGCUUCGCUGGUGGCUUACAUGAUGGAACAUGGUGCAACUUUUGCUUGGGCCGUGACCGGAAAAUUCGUCCCAGCUGAGUCUGUCUUCGGCUUUGUGCUUUCAGACUAAUUUGGGUUGAUCUGGUUGGACCCAAAGCCCAAAAGAAAUUUAGAAAACUUUGGGCCGGAGAUUGAGGUUGGGCUAAAUCCAAUACUCCAGAUCUUUUGAGGCGCAGUAUCAGGCUUCUAAAUAUGAGUUGAUUAAGUGAUUUUCUUUUUAAAAAAAUUUGCUAAUACAUUUAAAAUUAACCACCUCAAGGUCAAGGUCAAUAAUUAUCUUAUAGUUAGAGCGAAAUUUACACCAAAAAUUUCCAAACCCAAUUAAAAUGCAAUUGUUUCUAAUCAUCUAAAUUAAAUUAAAAAAUUUGUAUGGCUUUUUGGUUAGUUAGCUAUGCAAGACUCCGUGGCAAAAAAGAAUGGGAAUAAAUAAAAAGAAAGAUUGUGGAAAUUAAUUAAUUAAAAAGCACUUUUGAACACCACCAACCCAUAUGCCCAACACAUUCUGCUGUCGUUAACUUUAGGCAACAAAGGCUUCUCUUCUCUUCUUGCUACAUAUAGCUGGAUCACAGGAGGAGACCUUGCUCAGAAGAAAAGCUUACUUUAGCGUACGUGCGGGGCCAUAUUUGAAAUGAUAGCGAUCUUAAAGAAGGUCUUUGGUUCUUCACAUGAAUAAAGUUGUGUGAAAAUCAAAUUUAACUAGCUCGCUUGAUGAUGAUGAUGAUGAUGAUUGUUUCCUGUUUAUUGCAUAUGAUUAAAGUAAACUGCAGUUUUGUUGCUUUCCCAUCAAACAAUAUUGGGCGGGAAUCAUAAUUCAUAGAGAAUUAGAAUCCAUUUUGACAUGCUAAUUUGGGUCAAUUAAAUAUGGGUUCAUUUAUUGUUUUAAAAAAAUGGAAUUUUUAAGGCAUUUAUAUAAUUAAAAACUGCCAAAAAAAAAGUUGACAAAUUCCACAAACUUUAAAAAAAAAAAAUCUUCCAUUUGCAAUGCUUGAUUAAGAAAUAUUGUAAAUUGUUAUGCCUUUUUUUUUUUUUUUGGCAUUACAUUCCUAAAAAUAGUUGUUUUUUUAAAAAAAGAAAAAGAAAAUUAAGAAUUUAUAAAUUUGACUGACUCAACUCUAACACUUUUCUAAAUUACAUUUAUGGCGACUAACAAUCAGAUUUUUCAAUUUUCAAUAUAAAAAUAAAUAACUAAAAAAACAAGAUCAGAUAGGCCCUCCUCAACUUUGUGUUCGGGUGACCGACCAAUGACCACGUUGUGUGCUAGGUUGGUGGUCAUGCAUGGCACGUAAGCGGAUCCUACAGUUUAUAACGGAUCAAAUCACCGUUGAUAUAUUUUGGCAUUGACAGUUUUAAACGGUCAACUCUGACCGAGCCCACCGGACGAUAAUGAAGCUGAGGAAUACAGGUGUCAAUAGAACUGACCGCAGCCGAACAACACAAGCCAGCGUGAUCUCCUGACAGUUGGAAACAGAUUGCUGAGUUGGCAAUCGAGCUUUUUCCAUCAUCCUUUGAAUAAUUACAUGCACCCAACCCCCACCAUAAAGUUAUUUUAAAAAAAGAGGAAAAAAAAAAGGCAUUCUAAAUUAGAUUUUCUCCCUUUUAUGGCGGGGCCACUAUUUAAGACUAAAUUGCCCCUAUUAUAUUUAACAAUUGACCAUCGUAUCCCGAAGGGUAAUUUUCUACUAAAAGAAGGGUAUUUGUGGAAUUGAGAAUGAAUGCGGUCAAAUUAAUCAUUCUAAGAUAAAUUUGUAAUUACGUUAACUGCAAUAUUAUCAUAUAGAUUCCCUUAUAAUAUUAUGUCUCAUUGCAUAUACAAAAAAUAUAUUAUUAUAUUCAUAUUGUAUACUUGUCAUGCUAAUUGUGUCAUUGUAAUUAUCAAACAACUUAUUCAAUUUAAAACAAUUGAUAUAACACAUAAAUUCUUUAAAAAAAUAUCUUAAUUGUAAUUUAUAUAAUCGUGCCAUGAGUGUAAAUUUAAAUAAAAAUAUCUUAUAUAAUUUGUGACUGUAUAAAGCGAUUUAAGAUUUCAAAUUUGAAUUUCGUUGACAUCAAGACACGAUGAUACAACCACAAACUCUUGUACAAAUUUAUUUUGUACAAACUGAUGUGGCAUCAAUUCAUUGGUUGAAUGAAAAUACAAACUAAUGAAAAUAAAUCAUGUGAACCAAGCGAUAUUUAAUUUAACAAAUUUUAUCAUGCUACAUCAAUUUGUACAAGAUAAAUUUAUAAAAAAGUUUGUAAUUAUAUCAUUACUCAAACAUAAAAUAAAACGUUUGGAUUGAUUGCAAUUUUACCUUAAAUCAAAGUAAUAUUUCUUAAUAAAAAAAUCAAAAUCACUAUAUUAGGAAUAUGGUUAAAAAAAACGGUGACAGAAGUAGUUGAGGUAUCUUAAUAAAAGUAAAGGGUAUAAUAGUCAUUGUGUCCGAAACAGACCUAAAGCGAGCCAGCUGUAGCCACGAAUGGGGUGAUCGGAGAGAUAGUCCGUAGAUGUGAUGAUGUAGGAAAAGAACGGCCAGGAUUUAAACAAACAGAAUUUGAGGUUAAUUUAAGUGGAAUUUGAUUUCAUUUGAACGAGCUUCUCUUUUUUUAAAACAAGAGGGCGGGUAGCUUAACGCACAGCGCAAAGUCCGUUAGUGAGAGAGAGAAUCAGAACAGAAACAAAAGGAAGAAAAAAAAAUUAUUUUUUUUUAGAAAUUCGAAGGUAGUUCUUUCAAUAUGAGCUUCUAAUUUUGCUUGCUUUGAUUGAAUUCUUGUUCUUAGAUCUUGUUUGUUUAACAGUGUGAUCUUAAUUAUUAGAUUCAUUAAGCUCAUUGAUUGAGAUUCGGUUUUAAUGAAUUACAAUGCAUCGACAUUUUCAGAUUAUUGGCUGCUUUUUUUAUUUAUAUGGAUUGUUUUGAUUUUGAUAUGGGUUUUUUUUUUUUGCUUUCCAAAAUUGAAUCUUUAUGCUUCGAAUAGGCAGUGGGAUUCUGUUUUGUUUUUUUUUUCCGGUUUCUGUCAAAAGUUUGAAUUUUGGUGAUCCGUUGGCAUUGGGCAAAUGCUGUAAAUGUGUUUGAUUGGUGCAAUAAAAAAUGAUUUUUUUGUGUUUUUGCAGUUAGAAAAUGGCAGAUACUGAGGAUAUUCAGCCUCUUGUUUGUGACAAUGGGACUGGAAUGGUGAAGGUAUUUAUUCAAAAUUCAAAAUUCAAAAUCCGAUGUAUCUUGUAUUAUUAACCCAGAAGUUGAAUUUUGUGAUUGAUUUUAAUGGCAAUGUUAUUAUGUUAGGCUGGAUUUGCUGGAGAUGAUGCUCCAAGAGCUGUGUUCCCCAGCAUUGUGGGUCGCCCUCGCCACACUGGAGUUAUGGUUGGUAUGGGUCAGAAAGAUGCCUAUGUUGGUGAUGAGGCUCAAUCCAAAAGAGGUAUUUUGACUUUGAAAUACCCAAUCGAGCAUGGCAUUGUUAGCAACUGGGACGAUAUGGAGAAAAUCUGGCAUCACACAUUUUAUAAUGAGCUUCGUGUGGCUCCGGAAGAGCAUCCGGUUCUUCUCACUGAGGCUCCCCUUAAUCCGAAGGCCAAUCGUGAGAAGAUGACACAGAUUAUGUUUGAGACCUUUAACACCCCUGCUAUGUAUGUUGCUAUCCAGGCUGUGCUUUCUCUCUAUGCUAGCGGUCGUACAACUGGUAAGCACUUCUAUCAAUUGCCUGAUUCUUUGUUGUGCAAUCUGAUUCGUGGAUAAUUGUGAUAUACAGGGUGGUGAAAGUUUUUGGACAUUAGGGGAUUUUUAAAAAUUUUGUAUAUUUUAGGUGAUCUAUGAAGUUAGAUAUGAUUUUCCUUUUUUUCCAUCAAAAAGAUCAAACCCUUUAUAUACGCAUCACAUAUUCAUUCCUUUAGUUAAAAAGUUGCCAUCAAGGCAGGGUUCACAUUUUCGAGUAGUUAUAACUAGAUCGAUUAUUCUCACAGACCUGAUUAGUUGUGCCUAUUUCCUGUGGAAUUUCAUAUUCAUAAUGGUGACAAUUGUGAUCUCAUGCUGACUGAAUUAUUAACCAUAGAAGGUUGUUGGAAAAAAAAUUAUUUUUUUGCUUUGUGUUGAAUAAUACUUGCUUGUGGAGCCUAUUGAUUACAUUUUGGACUCACUGUGAUAUUGGCAAUGCAUCUUAAAUAUCAUGUUUAUAAUUGUGUGUGUUUAAUUAUUUAGGUAUUGUUCUGGACUCUGGAGAUGGUGUCAGCCACACAGUUCCCAUCUAUGAAGGUUAUGCCCUUCCACAUGCCAUCCUCCGACUGGACCUGGCAGGUCGUGACCUUACAGACGCCCUUAUGAAAAUCUUAACCGAGCGUGGUUAUUCUUUCACCACAACUGCUGAGCGGGAAAUUGUUAGGGACAUGAAGGAGAAAUUAGCCUACAUUGCGCUUGACUAUGAACAAGAGCUAGAGACAGCAAAGACCAGCUCAGCUGUGGAGAAGAGCUAUGAACUACCUGAUGGGCAGGUCAUCACUAUUGGGGCUGAACGAUUCAGGUGUCCAGAAGUCCUCUUCCAACCAUCCAUGAUCGGGAUGGAAGCUGCUGGCAUUCAUGAAACAACAUACAACUCCAUUAUGAAGUGUGAUGUCGAUAUCAGAAAGGAUCUCUAUGGCAAUAUUGUCCUUAGUGGUGGCUCCACCAUGUUCCCAGGUAUUGCUGACAGAAUGAGCAAGGAGAUCACUGCAUUGGCUCCAAGUAGCAUGAAGAUCAAGGUGGUAGCACCACCAGAGAGGAAGUACAGUGUCUGGAUAGGAGGCUCGAUAUUGGCUUCCCUCAGCACCUUCCAGCAGGUACAUUUAUACUUUUAUAUUUCUAUCUUUAGUUUCAGGUGGCAGACAGAGAUGAAAUGUAAAUCACUUCUAGCUCUAGUAACUUGACAUUGGCCUGUUUUUUAUUGCUUUGGUGACAAGUGACAAGUAAUUGUCAAGAUUGUAGUAGUUGUUUGUGAUAGAAAUGGGACUUUGAGACAACUGCAAUCUAUAUUAGUAUAGUACCAGGAGUAUACAUACUUGUACAAUUAUAGUGCAUUAAACAGUGUCUUAAUCGCCAAGAGAAAUCUAAACAAAAUCAUAAAGACAUAAAAUAUAUUUGUCAAACUAGGACUUUCAUAAUUUUUCUUAUCAACAGCUUCGACUUCUCAUUAUAAGUGAAUGUAGUUUUGUGGAGGCCAUGUCUUUUUUCGUAAGUUACUUUCAAGUAUUCUUCACUUUUCCUUCUUUUUUGAGUGCAGAUGUGGAUCGCAAAGGCAGAAUAUGAUGAGUCUGGACCAUCAAUUGUCCACAGAAAAUGCUUCUAAUCGUGGAAAGAGAAAUGCUAUGAGGAAACAUAUACCAGACAUUUUGUAUUAAGGAAAGGCUUCUUCCAAUCAAGCGGUUGUUCGAAGUUUCUUUUUUCUCCUUUUUUCUCAUCCUUUUCGUUCUUGUUUCUUUUUCGUGUUUUCGUCCUUUGAUGUCUGAACAAUGAAUAUGGGGGGAUUCAAUUCUUUACAUUAUUAUUUGUUAGUAGAAGAGUAUUGGAUUGUUACUGAUUUGGUUUGGGUUGAAUUAAAGAUUCUUUUCCCAAUUCUUCUUCCAAGAGCUCAUUAUAAUUUAGUGCCAAACAAUUGUAUUCCUUUCAUGAGUAAUAUAUAUAUAGUCUUCUGAGUGAGCAAAGAGCCAGCUGAUUAUUUACAGACAAAUAAGACCAAAUAAUGAAAUUUUCGGGGAACCCGGUCGACAUCUUGCAUUUGCCAUUUGCGGAAUCUGAAGCAAGUUUCAAAGUCAUUGCAGAAUAGAGGUUACCGAAACUGUAAAAUCAAGUACAAUAUUAUUAUUGACAUACAGUGAAUAAAAUACACGACUUUUGAGUGCACGUAGGCCUCACAUGUGGAACUGCACAAAAGAGGUAAAUCUUUAACCUCUUUGUAUGCAUUAUCACCAAAGGGCAUAUCAAAAUAAUUAAGCAAUCGAGGGACAAUAGUUUUUGGGUUAAAGAUGGCUGGGUAGGAGGAGAUUAGGAAAAAGAGAAACCGAUAGAAACAACAAUCAAGUGCUGCAAAAACAUCGUAGAAGUAGAAACUUCUUGAAGCCAAUCUUCACGACCCAACUGACCAUUUCAGGUGAACGGGCGGUAUUUCAGAUACUGGCUCAAGUUAUGCAUCAAUUUUGUAGAAUGUUAAAGUUUGACGGUCCAACAGUAUCGACAAACCCUCGAACAGAUAGCUCUGGUACAGAGAUCUUGUUCCCCAGCAACGCAUGGUCUAUAAAGAUGACAACCACAGUAAUAUCAUCAUGAUAAAACCGCCUAUCCCCCUUAUCAAUCUUCUUAAGCUCAUCAUAACCCAUCUGCCUUUUCUUAGCUGCCGCAUUUAAAGCUGUUUUAAGAAGCCGUCUGGCAACUCCCUGACAUUUAAAAGAAAAAAAAAAUGUCAAAAACAAGUGAGUACAAUGAAGAGAAAAGACAAAACAUAAACCAGAUGCAUUUAAAGAUAAUACAUACAGCUCGUGGGCAAUUAUAAACAAUAUCAACUGCCUCUUGAUUUGUCAAGUGUUCCCACAGCCCAUCAGAUGCAAAAAUGAGAAAUUUGUCAUUGGGUUGCAAAGCUCUCGUGCAUAUGGAUGGUUCUGCUGUUAGCACAGGCCGACGGAUUGGCUCGGGGAGGUGGAAUCGUGGAAAUGAAGGAUCGAGGGAAAAUUCAGGUCGCUUCAGGUAUGCAUCACCAAUAGAUCUGGAUACCUGAUGAAGAUACACAAAGGAAGACAGCGUAAAGACCAAAACCAAAGCAACUGUUUGAAGUAAGGAAAUCCUAAUUGACAUCCAAUUCAAGGAAAUCGCAUAUUGUGAAUCUCGUGAUGCAGCAAGUAUUAAACUGAGAUUGAAAAUGAGAGUCAAUUUCAAUACAGAGAAGCAUGCAACAUAUACAAGGUUAAGUUUGAUAUAAUUCAUGCCUAACAAAACAAAAAGAAACAAACAACUCUUAUUUCAUCUUAUUUUGACGUUCAUAUGAAUAUUUCUGGCCAGAAAAUCCAUUGAAAUAACUUGUGAUUGAUAAUUAUUGAGACAAAGCAACUCCAAGUUACAAAUAUGUAGUAAUAUAUAGGACCAUGGCAUAGAGAAGUUCUUAUCUUACCCUAAACAAUGAUCAGUAUAAAUUUAAAACAAUGUCAAUUAAUAAGCAAAGGUAAGUGAAUGACAAGUAAUACAAACAUAUUAUGUUCCAGAAUGUCUUUUUCUCUUCCAUAUUUCAUAUGAUAAAGAAUUGCUCGUGUCAAUGAGUCAAAAUAGCCAAUUAAACUUCCUUGCAUCAUCAAUUUAUGCCCAAAUGUUGGUCCAUACAUGCAACGAUAAGCAUGUGCACUUGAACAUGAAAUUGAAAAUUGCAGUAACAUCAGAUAAAAGAUAAGCAAACCUGAAUAAGGCCUUUGAUACGCCAUACUCCUUGCUUCAUCACUACAAUAUGUGAAUCAUCUGGAUGCAAGGACCUGAGUUCUUGUCUAACCUCCUCCAUGCAAGCAUUGUGAUCCAUAGUCAAUUGCUCGGCAACUAUCUUACCCGAUUUACCUAAAGAACCAAUUACAGCUCGAGAAUCACCCACAUUGGCAACAUAUAAUGUUCCCUUCCAGAUAACUCCAACCAGGCAACAGGACCCAAUUGCUGCGAUUACUGGUUUUAUUCCACAUGUCCUACGUACAAGAGUAAGGAAUCCAUCCUCAGUUGCAGAAAAAGCACUUUUAAGAAUAUCUUCUGAAAUGGUUCCACCUUCUCGAGCAAACCCUGUAGAAUAACAAGGCACUACUUGGUGAUGCCCAAUAAAAUACCUAGAGUCUUUAACAAAAAGAAAAAAAAACAAAAUCAAACAUAUCAAAUUAAAAAGAAAAUUCUCCUUGCUCUAGAAGCAUCCAAUGAGGACAGAUCAGUGACUGCAUCACUGUGGAUAUGUCAAACAUACAUCUCUACUAUUAUCACACAAAAUUGGGCCUUCAAUAUAGAAAACCGUUUUUUCGUCUCUCCAAUUAUGUCCUCUUGAAAACUACAGUAAUUCAAAUACUUUUUAUCCUUCACACAUGAGAGAAUUUGUUUCAUUCUCUAAUAGAGAUGACGAAACGAAACAGGAUCCAGGAACCAGACAACAGCUUAUACCAUGUUUUCUUAAAAAGAAUCCCAAGCUUGACGUGGAACCAAAUUCUCAAUUUCCAAAUCAACAAUUAGCAGCGCUUUAAAUUCACAAUAAAUUCCAUUAACACACUCCAAAUUCACAAUUAGAUAUAAACUUAAAAUAAUAAUAAUAAUAAUAAGAAACUCAAUUUCCGUUCACAAACCAAAUGCGCAAGUAACUCCAAAUGAAAAUGAAUUCUGCACGACAUCAGACUAUUUGUGUCCACUAUAGAACAAGCAAUCAAGCAUCGCAUCCAGACAAACAAAGAGCACAAAACAUUAAUUUUAAUAUUCCAAUUUUGUCCUAAACCGGUAUUAAAAUUCCAAGAAAAUAUAUAAUAAAAACAAAAACCAAAACCAAUGCACAAAAUCCACCAAAAAAAGAAAGAAAAAAGAAAGAAGAGAUACUAACUCAUCAAAUGGCGAAAGAGAUGGUCACGAAUAAAGCGAGAGGCCUCGGGGCCACCAUGGCCGUCAUAGACACCAACAAAGAAAGCAUCACGGCCGGUCUCAACUUGGCUGUGAUCCUCAAUAACUUCAUUGGCUUGAACAACAGCAAAGGAGAAGUCACCAUAAGAGUGCUUCUCAAGGUCUUUGCACCAAAGAAGUGAGUCUUGAUGUGAAGAAUCAGAAUCACUAAUAUCAAUGUCAUUGUAAUUGAAAUUAUCCUUGUUCAUACGCGCAUAUCGCCUCACUGAUCUCCAACAAGCCAUUGUUAUCCUUGCCAACCAAGAAAGCAUCCCUCAUUUCCCUUACAGCAAUACCCUUUUGAUUCAAACCACUAAUUCUUGAAUUUCUCAAAUUGGUUUUUAUUUUCAAGUUAAAAGAACAAAAAAAAAAUUCAAAAUUUAGUGAGAAAGCAAAAUAAAGAUCACAAAUUUAGAGCAGAGGAAGCAGAAAGAUUGAAUUUUUUAUAUGAAGGUGAAUGAAAGGAAGUGAGUGACCCGAUCAAAGUGAAGUAGCAAGCAGUACAGAGAGAAAUUGAUUGAAAGAAUGAAAGAGUUGGAUCAAAGUUUUUAUUCUUUCUUUUUCUUUUAAUUGUUGAGUUCAAGAUUCUGAUUCAAGAAAAAAGAAGGGGAAAAAGGAAAAAGGUGGGAAGAAAUUAAUGGAUCAAAGUGGAGAGAGAGAGUGUGUUGGUGUGAAACUUGAAGACUUCAAUUUCUUUUUUUUUGUUGGUUGGUUGAAAGAAAGGCAAAGAGGACGAAAAUGGCUGAGGGAGAAAGAGAAGAGAAAAAGAAGAAACAAAGAAAGUGUUUUUGGGAAACGUAUUUUUAGAGUUUGUGAAAGAAAGUGGUCAAUUUUUGAAGUGAGAGAGAGAAGUAGAGAAGAAGAAAUGGAGUGGAAAUUAGAGUGAAAAAAUGAAAAGCUGGAUGUGUGUGAAAUGUAUUAAUUAAUUAAUGAUUUGGGGAUAUUGUUAAGUUGUAUAAUAACAUGAUUUAGUCAUCAAAUGUUCUUAGAUUAUUAAGAUUAAUUUUUAAAUGAAUGUAAAUUACAGCUUGACCCCAUGCCGCUAAAUUAUAGAUGAGAUGAGAAAUGACCCAAGAGUUUCAUGGGAUUGGGACCAAAGCCAGAAGUUUUGUGCCAACUUGGAAACUUCUAAAUAAUAGAUUGUUAAUUUGAAUGAUUUAAACAUUUUGCGUAUGAAAUUGAUAAAAUUUCAUCUGAAUCCUACUAGUCCGUUAAAUUAAUGAGAAACUAAAAAUAUUUAAAAAAAACUAUCGUUGAGAUCUUAAAGUCGUGACAUAUUGGAGUUAUCUAAACAAAGUUUUGACAUAAAGAGAGGGAGAGAGAGAGAAUCAAUAAAAAUAAAAAAUAAAAAGAAAGAAAAUGCGAGAGUGAGAAAAAGAUGUGCAAUUAAACCCUGGAUCACAUCUGUCAAAAUGAAUGGAAAUGGUGUAAAAAGUAAUCUGAACCAGGAAACAAAUUCACUCACAAACUUUCAAAACCACCAACCAGAAAAGCAGAGAUGCCCUGCUUCUGCAAUCCAAUAAAAGUGCUUCUCUGAUGGAGUAGGUGGCUUGUAGCUAUAAGCUUCAGCAAUUACCAGUUGGUAGAUUGUAGAAGCCUGUUGUUUUCCAAAUCUAAAAGUGCUUAUAAUACAUGUGAUACCGUGACAUGUGAAUCUGUCUUUUGUAUCACAAGUCUAUCGCCCGUAUUACUUCGUGUCUUCACCGAUUUUUCACCCUUAUUUUUUUUGUCAAUUUCAUCAGCCCCGAAAUUAAUUUUGAUGUAAUCGUAAGGCAGUUGCAAUAAAGAUAAAGGUGCCAGCUUCCAAGCCACGACCCUACCAAAUAUUCAUCAAACGUUUGUGAUAUAUUGGUAGGGUCGCCAUCAAAGUCCAAUCGGACAAGUGCUUCCUGUGUGUGUGUCUCAUGUUCAUCCAAAAGUACUUCCAAUAGAUUGGGGUUUUCUGCAGGCUUUUUAUGAAAGCUUUAUUGUUCAGCGCAUGCUUUUUUAUGAACUCUGUUUGGAUUUACAUAUUUUCCCAAUUGUAUUUCUAUGAAAUCGUUCAAACGGCCUAAUUUGAUUUUGUUAAUGAAGUUCUUGGCACAAGAACAUGAAGCAAAUACCUAAAAACUAAUUGUUUGAACAGUACAUGUUGACACUUUCUCGUAACAAAGUCUAUCAAGUUUAAAAUCAUUUGCAAUUUACCUUGUAACGUAGGGGCGGCUCAACUCAACUAAUUUUAGAAUUUUAGACAAAUUAUUUUAAUUAGGUAUUUUAAAAAUAUUUAAAUUAAAUAUAUCUAUUAGUUUUAUUAAAAAAUCAUUUAUUUAAAAUCAAUUUUUCUAACUUUCUUAGGUGCAAAAUUAUUGAUCAAAUUUUUAUAUUCUAAUUUCGCUAAUAUAUUUUUCUUAAUAUAACUAAAUCAUUUAGUUUUUCUUUUGACUUAGUUGAUCUUAAAUAAGUUUUUAUCAAUUUUAAUUUUAGAAAUUUCGUCAAUUACUAAUUUUUCACUCUAAUUUACAUCCUUUUUAUUACUUUUGACAAACUUAUCAAGAGCUCAUUUUUUAGAUCAAACUAAUUUUUUAUUCUUCUCUUUUUUUUCCAAGUUUUUUUUGUAUCUUUAUGCACAUUUUCUAUUAGAAAUUUUUUCUUUUUUGGUGAAAGAAGAGUAAACAAGCAAACAGUUAUGCUAGAUAAUUAAAAGAAAACAACUAUACUAUUUAAAAAAGAAACAACAACAAUUGAAUAACACAACUAAUUAAGAAGUGAAUAGGAAAACAAAAAACCUGAAUAUUUGAAACUUUAACUUUGAUGGAUUGAAAUUUUAAACAACAAUGAUCAAUGGAAAUAGUUGAUUUUUUUUUCUUAAGCAAAAAUUAAAGAAAGCUUUUUUCCCCCUUAUGCACUAAAGCAUUGAAUGCGUAGUGCCUUUUUCUUUUAAUUGAUAAAAAUAAUAAUGGAUAACAAGUUAACAAAUGUGUGACUUUUAUAGAGUUUUAAAUAAAAUAGCAUUAAAUAGAGAUUUUGUAGGAAUUUGAUAAUUUAUUUAAGUAAAGAUUAUUAUAGAUUAUAGAAUAAUAAUAAUAAUAAUAAAUAAAUAAUUUAAUAGCUAUAAUAUUGGAGAAAAUUUGGGACCUUCAUAUAUAGUGAGACUUUAAGCAACUGCCUAAGUUGCCUAAAGGGAGAGCCGCCCCUAUUGUAACGAAGGAUUUUUUUUUUUUUUUCAAUUUAACCACACUACCAUAGAUGAUAGGCUUAAAAUUUACAACACCAACUAUCUAUUUGUAAUAUUAUAUCACAAUUUAUGGUUUUAAAACAUCUACUAAUAUUGUUUUAUUUUUGUUACCAGUUCAUAUUGUAUGAACAUUUAUAAUAAUAUUAGGGAUCUCAACAUUUGAACUUGAAUCCCAAUAGCAUGCGUCACUUAUCUAUAAGAUAAUAAAUUUCAUAACUUUUAAAAUUAAUUAACCUCCAUCUAAUUAAUAAAUGACAUAUUUGUUUGAAUUUAAAUUAGAAUACUCUAAUAUUUAUGGUCUUCACCGUCCCAUUAUGUAAAAUGUGGACUUAAGUUAGUUUUUAAUAUAAGACAAUAUUAUUUUAUUGUACAUCAUUUUCUUAAUAUUUUAUUAUUGUACAUCAUAAUAAUUUAAAUGUUAAAAAUUUUCGGUAUAUAAUGCAAAAUACAUACCCACACGAGAUUGUGCAGAGAAAGAGGAACCAUGAAGAAUUGAACUUUGAUUUAUUCCUUGCAAUAGAGCAAACAAUUCUAUAAUCAUUAUAGAAGGAAAAAAAAAAGGGAAAAUUAUGUUAAAAAUAUACAAAACUAUGAACUCUCUUCAAAAUCCUAGAAAAACAACCAUGAGAGCUAAACGACAUCGUUUAUCAAACGCUUGUGCCUGUUGUAAUGCUUCUCCAUGAAAACUCUCGAUGCCCCUUCUACAGUCUUACGCCAUGUCUGCACGAACCUCCAAAAAAUAAAUAUAUGCAAAUAAUUAAAAAAAGAAUUCAUUAAAUUUCAGAACAUAUUAAAAAUGCAAAGAAAAUUUUGGUGACUUUAUAAUGUUAAUUUAAAAAAAAAAAAUGUAUCCCCAAAAAGAACCGACAUAAUAAAAUGUAACCUUUUCAAUGGUGCCAAAAAGUGAUUUAUUUCUGAUGUCCCUAGCUCUCGGCUGAGACCUCCCAAUCCCAAGUUGCCGGAGCAAUGGCGGCCGCCUCGCCGCCGCGGCCGGAGGAAGAAGCCAUUUCCUCUCUACGAAGCUUCCACUGCCGUUAUUAUUCAAAGGGCUCUCACAAUACUCACCUCCUCUUCUUCCACUGCUCGACAUCAUCCUUUUUCGCCUUUUCGCAAGCCUAAGCUCCUUUCUUGCUUCUUUUUUUUCAUCACCCAGUUCGGCAAAUUUUCUCAGCAAUUCAUCCGAAGAUUUCUUGUUCACAUGUUGAAUUUUAGCAUUUGAAUUUUCAGAAUCCAUUAGGGGGAAGAAGAAGCAGAUUGAUUGUUAAGAGGGAGAGAGAGCAACGAAAUGUCGUAAGAGACAAUUUUAUAUGAGGCGCCAUUUUGUUUUGUUGUGUGAGAAAUGGACCGUUGGAAGGAUAUUUUACAUAAAUAACUCAAUUUUUUUUUUUUUUUUUUUAAAGGAGAGAUUUAUGAAUGUAGCCGUUAGGGGUAUGUAAGUUUGGGCAUGUGAGUCAGUGCACAAGAGAAUAAUUGACUGAUGAAUUGGAAGUUUGUGUUGGCAGAAAAAUGGGACCUCGUUUUUGUUAGAAGCAAUAAGCAAUUUGGGCGGGCGAAAAAGUGAUUAUUGCUAUCUAGAUUCUAUGGGAUUUGUAAGAGUUAUGCCUAGCAGCACUCUUUUUUCUCUUCAAGCUCCUGUAACCCACUCACUCAACAUAAUCACAUUUGAAAAUUUUGCCUAUCCUUGCUUUUUGGCUCAAAUGGAAUCAAACGAUGCUACGAUGAUAAAUACCAAUGCCCACCAGAAAAUUUCAGUAAUACAAUUCUAGUUGAGUGUGAAUUUCAUGUCUAUUAAUAAAUCCUUUUUCUAGAAAGCACUUUCCUUUUCAUUUUCCCCCCCUGAUGUAACAAUGAAAAAUCACCUUUGAUAAAGCAGCAUGCUGAUACUUUUACCAUCAAUAGAGCUUGAAAUUUAACAUCAAACGUUUAUAAUGGUACAAGUUAACAUACGUUACAUCGGUGUUAAAUGAACAAAGGUGUCACAAAUGCAAAAAUUCUACAAUCAAAUGUUAGGUCGCCAGAAUUUGUGAUUCAGGUUCCGGUUAAAGGUCCGAGCAUGAUGCUGGUUCCGGUCAACUUGUGAAUUUAUGGCACAUCAAAAUUCUCCCACACGAAACUACUACUUUUCUGCAGGAAAUGUUCAUUGAGGUAGCUGCUGGUAUCCUGUCAAGUAAAAAUUGUUUUGAACUCGGAUUAGAGUUUAGCAGUAUAUUUCAACGAUGUUUCUUUUAAAAGGAAACGAGGUCACAUAAAGAAGUUUGUCACAGGUUAUCCAUGAAUCAUAAAACUUAAUUCCUUGCAAAUUUCAAAAGAACUCAUGCUACCUGCCAAUCUAGUUAACUUUCUGAAAUGGGCUUUGAGUUAAGUCUUGAAUAUGGCUCAUACGUUCCUUUCACCAAUACAAGAAUCACAUGGAGGCAAGCUCAUGCAUCAAGGAACCUAACAGUCUACAUCUCUAACCUUCAAAUUAUGUCUACGUGCAGAGUUAGUCAUUUGAUAAGUAACUAUGGAUAAUCAACGUUGUGCUCAAGUAAUUUGCCAACAUACUUCUAUGUUGCUCUCUAAAAAUAUACACAAGAAGACACUCCUAAAUUAAACAUGUGACAUUUUUUAAAUGCACAUUGCAAAUUUGCAAUGAUGUUAAACAUGCAUAAACAUAGUGGCACGGAAGACGAUACUGUAGAGCACUUCAAUGGAGUGAAUCUUAUGAGUAAUCAAUUGAAAAUGCCUUGUAUCUUUCUCUGAUGCAGGUUUCAUUGUAUUUAUUUCCCAAUUAAACUUGUUGCUCAAAUUAGUACACCGGGCAAUACACAACGGUGAAAAUUUAUCAAGUCAAAUAUUCAAUUUCAUACCAUGCCAUCAUCAGCUGAAUUGAGUCCCAAAACUGAGAGUGUGGCACUCGAGAUUUUUGAGGUUAACCUACAGAUAAGAAAACAAAUUUAAGCAAGAAAAGAUGACUGUUGUCCAAAAGAGGGGGGAAAAAGGAAAACAACAGAAACUUAAGAACAAUUAUUCAAGAACUUUCCUUAAGCAACAAGUUGUUAGUUUUUGUUUUCCUUUAUCAUUUUUGCAGUUUUCCUGAACCAAUGGCAGCAUGUUUAGGGAAAAGGUAAGCAAAAUUCUUGUGUUUUCUUAACAAUCAUAAUUCAAUUUUAAAGCUAAAUAUAGGAAAUGAUAUAGGACUGAAAUGCUAGAGCUUAUACAUUGUAACUUCUAUCACUUCUUUCUUUUGUUUCCCCAUAGACUUUGUUAAAGAACCUAAGAUUUUGUAAAAUAUUACUUAGAAUUUCUCACUUUUUUAAAGUGACCAAAAAGAUUUCUAUCUUUUAAAAAUUAAAAGGAUUGGCAUCGACCACCAGAUUAUUUUCUGUUUAACCAUGAGAAAGACUCCAUUAAUCAUGGUUGAAAAGCAUUGCAAAGCAAGGCAAGAUCUAAACUUAAGACCUCCCCAAUUUCUAUCCCAAGCAACAAUGAAAUGAGUAUGAUGCAUGAAAAACAAACAAACUUGAAAGUUAUGUUGAGAUUUCUGAGUCAACCCAGUACCCUUGAUGAUUCUCAGCAUUCCUGAGAAGAUACAUAAACUUACCACUACAGCAACUCCAGUCUCGCUGAACUUAGGAAUGCAAACCAGUCUAACCAACUGCCUGUCUGAUCCUACACAUAAGUUACAAUUGUAACUUACCGGAAAGGAACCCAAUAACAGAAACUUUUCUGCUUGAAAUGUAAUAUAUACCUUUGAGCAAGCGAGUUUCAAAUUUUUGUUGAUUACCGGCAAAGUAAACAUGAGGACAGCUCUCAACCAGAAAAGGAUCCCUAUCGGUGAAAGGGUAACAUCCUGACGAUAAUGAUUAGCAAGCUCAUUAAAUGAAAAUCAUACUUUUAACCAAGCAACUUUCCUUAUUUUUGUAAUGAACACAUUCCGUUAUCCCAGAUCUGCUGGUUUAGAAUAAAAUAUUUUCUAAGACAAGCUACCAAGUCCAUGUGGGGAUGUGAUACAAGUACAAAAUCAGACAAAUUAUAAAACAAAGGGGCGCAAACUAUCAAAUGUACCAAGAGUAUUGGGUGCUGUUGGUGCCAGAUGCCUCCACCUUAAUGUUCUUUCCAUAAAUUCAAGCUGAUUGUUUGCCUCUGAAUAUUUCUGAAGAUCGUCUAUGGUUUGACCUGAUGUUCCAAGAAAUCUGGAAACCCAGAGGAUGGCAUAGUCAGUAUGGAUUUUGAAAGUAAUAACAGUCUACUAAUAUAAUAAUAUCUUACCUAACGUUGUCAAGCUCAAAGCAAUGGGGAUUAGUGCAAGAUCUAAAUGUGUUAUAAGUGGCAGACCCAGGGAAAAGGCAUCUGUUCAAUGGCUGAAAGAAAAAGGACACUAGAACAAAUUAAAUUUUACGCCUUGGAAUUAAGAGGAACAUAUACGCAUUCAACGCACUAAAUAACCUGCUGAGGUAAAGAAAAGUUUGCUGGAUCAUUAGGUCCAGGCAUGAUAUCCAAAGGUACCCCUGCAGCAAUCUACAGACAAGUAAAUAAACAUCAACUCAAUCACGAUGAGAGGACAUAUAGCUGGCAACUUAAAUUAAGACAUCAAAUUAAUGAUAAAAACCUGGGUCAACAAGAUAUCUAACUCUUUAAUUGGCUCAAAAAGCCUUGAUUGAUCCUUUGAAGCCAAGUUCUGCAAAGAAAUAUAGGACUUGAUAAAAAUAGGAUGUACAAAUACGAAAAGCCUUUGUGAUUAAGGACGGCUAUAUAUAUAUAUUGAAUUACAUAAGACUAAUGCUCAGAUUACAACUCAUAUUACAUGAGACAAUUACUGAUAUAUUUACAUUCAGAAAAUUACCGAGACUAGUCUUACAUGAAAUCUUAUAUAGCACUGCUCAGAUCUUUAACCCUCUCUAAUAUUCGAGGACGUCUACUCCACUCUCAUUUCGAAAGGGAGAAAACUGUCUUCACUCAAAUAUUAUCCAUAAUUGGGAAGGGAUUGAAACCCCCAUAAUGCUUUGUAGGGACUCGAACUGCUGCCCUCACAAUUGUGAGGGCAGUGGCUCUUUGGUCGAGUGGUUUGACCACUACAAUAUUUUGAAUCUACACCAUCAGAUAAAGUUUAGAAAUAUAGAUUCUAUCCCCAGCCUAGGGAAAAUAAAUACAUAAAAUGAGAAGUACAUGGAUCUCUAUGAGGUCUUUAAUUUUGAGCUUAUGACCGUAGAUAUCUCAAGGAACCAUACAAACACUCACAUUUACUAUCUAGUGGUUUCAUGCACCAAUACAUUCAAUCAGUAAUUUCUUCUAAUUGGCGUCAAGUUCAAUCAAGUCGAGUAAAUUUAACAAGAAAUUUUAACAGACCAAAACUAACCAAGUUCUUGACACAAUUAAAUAAAAUAUAGAAAAAAAAUAUCUGUAGCUGCUUAUUCACAAAGGAGAUCAUAAGAGAAUCAAUAAAUUAGCAACCUGUCCAUUCAGCAGUCCACGGGGAAUUUCAAUAGAGUUUCCGGCAAUAACAACAUGAACUAUCUCCGCUGCAAUACCUUGUUCCUACUUAGUAGAUGUUUAGUAGAUGUCACAAGUUAGCAAGAUGAUGUCACAAAUAAGCCACAAAUGAGAGGAAAUCUGCAAAAACCUUUUCAUCUCCCAGAUGUCCUGUUAUAUGAUCAACAAGAAGCUGAAACUGGAGUGGGUUAGAUGUGCCACUUCCAACAUUUAACCCUGACACAAGUACAACAUACUUGUCUUCUCCUGUAUAAAUCAAUAUCAAAACACUAUGAGACAACACUUGUACGUACUGAUUGGCCUGGUUUAAAGAUUCAAUUUAAGUACAUAAACUAUAUCACCAGGGCUAUCAUAUAUGCACAAGCCAAACUGAAUACGGAUAUCUAUAUAAGAAAGGUCCAAACUCCACCUAAUUUUGUUCUGUGCUAAACUAAAAGUCAGACCUAAUUCCCAAAAGUUUGAUAGCACGAAAUGCAUAACAAAAGAAAUACUUGGAGCUAGUUUCAAAAGGGAAAAUAUCAAGAUUAAAAUAGCAAGGUCCAAGAACCAUUUCAAACUAAAUAGAGACCAAGAAAUGGGACUAUGGGAGAAGAAACUACUAAGGAUUGCUUUGAAUUUCCAUAAACAGCACACAUCCAGAAGAAUGUUAUACUGAAAAUUUAGGUCACUCUAUGUGGUUACAAUAUGCAAAGGUUGAUGAAUGCCUAAUAUGGAAACAUGUAGGAAGAAUGUUAAUAACCGCCUGAUUAUUUAGUUUAUUGCAAGGUGCAAACAUCAGAGAGAAAAAACAAAAGAGAGAGAAUUUGAAUUUCUGACAUACCUGAGUUAAGUGGCAACUCUUUCUGUGGUGCCAGGCCAGCAUCUAAGACAUCCAGAACCAAAAACUCACCAGCACUAGUUUCCUUACCAUGCAAAGCAACAACAAUGCCUGCAAAUGUAUCAUCUCAGUGAAACCAUCACCAUCCUUUGUACAGAUGAUAAUUAUAGUUAAUUUCAACAAAUAGCAAUUUAGGACAAUCAAACUAGGAUUUUAAGAGAGAAACAAAAACAUAAACAUGAUAACUAGAUUACAUCAUAAACCCUCCCAACAGUAACUAAACCUCCUUUUCUGAAACUAGCCAAUAGACUCGCUAAGUUCAUCACCACACUGAAGGUAGCCCUCUCAAAACAGCUAAAGACAGACUACAAUCCCCUCAUUCGAAGAUUUUCAUAUAUCACUAUGACAAAUUUCCCAGUACACAGACCUGUUACAUACGCUGAAGGCAAAAGUUCAGCACCACCAAGUUUAACUCUUCCACUCUCAUCUUCCAGAACUAAAUGAUCAUCUGGAUGCAUAAAGUUGUGAGGCUUUACAAGUGGGGUUGUAGAUCUCUGUAAAUUGCAAAAUCAAAGAUCUCAAAACCCAGAACUUCAAUCUCAAUUCCAACAAACAAAACAAUGAAAGAAACCAACAGUGACAAAACCAAUUUACUAAUGAUUGUGGUACCUCCUUGGAAUACUCAUCAAGAAUUGAAGGCUUGAGUUUCAUGUGCUUGUACAGGGUCCCAAUGAUGAUGCAUUCCCUGCCUUCUUCCAGUUCCAAUACCGUACAAACUGAAACACAAGUAACCAUGGUAAGGAAUUAAACUGUCCAUGGUAAAGCCUUAUCAUAUUACUCCAGAGGUCAAAAUUUUACAUACAUUUUAUCAGUUUAACAGUAAGAUUGCUAAACCUCUUGAAAGCAGAUCCAUGAAAUAUUAAAAUACCCUUAAAAUCAAGAAAAAAACUACCAAUGGCAAGCCUAAACACUAGUCUAACUCUAGCAACUAGCAUCAGUUUCCAUCAAUUCAAGGAAACUUCUAUCAAAACUUUAACUUAUUCAAAGUACAUUCGGGUAAAUAUGCCAUGCUGCUUUCAGGAAUUCCUGUGAUCGCAUUUUCCCGUUAAGAAAUAUAGUAAUACUACUUAUAAACUACCAUGUCAUCAGUACAUUACUCCACAUCAACUCAUUAAACCAACUUCAUUUAAUUUUUCACUUUCACCCAUCCCCUAUUUUCACACCAUACCAGUUUGUGUGAGAAGGAUUUGUGUACGAGCUUGUACCCUUAUUUUUAUUUAAAAUUAUAAAUUGCCCAAAUUAACUCGGUGUUAUAUUAAAAUGGCUCAUACAACCUCAUUAUGCAAAAAACUUAAACCCUAAAUAAACAGCUAAAGUAGAACAAUUGAAGAUAAAUACCCCAUAAAAUGUACAAACAAGAAGUGGCAAAAAAUUAACGAUUAUUGAUAAUUUAUAAUAUAAUCUUUAAGAAUAUGAAAAGAAAGAAAUAAUCAGUACUUGGCAAAUGGGGUUUCCAAUUGGGAACAAGAGAAUAAAGCAGAGUUCGCAUCAAGUGAAGACGAGCAAAAUAAAUUUGGCUGUAUUGUUGACCCCUGUAUGUCUCCUUUUGUAUUUCAAAAGGCUCGUCCUGCAGCAAUAAUAAUAAUAAAAUUUACAAAUUCAACUUUGUAAGAGAAAAAAAAAAUCAAAUUUUGUUAAAUUACAAAUACAUGAACGAAAAAUUGAGUGAAGAAAAGAAAAGAGAAUAAGUUACCAAGGAGAUAUAGGUGGCUUGCUUUCUCUGAAGACGAGCUUCUUUCCCGUCGAUUUCCAUGGUUUCUGGCGGGAAAAAGAUCUUAAAAAAUAAUGAUAAAAUUUUUUUCGCUUAGCUUAUAACGAGAGGGAGCUUCCAUAUGUUUAUGCGUUGAAUAAUAACAUUUAGAUCCCUACAUUUUAAAAGAAUUACAAGAAAAACAGUUUGUUCUUUUUUUCCCUGAAACCUGCACGCGGCUGCCAAAUCAUUACAAGAAAAUUAAGAAUUCGUUCAUAAAUUCAAUGGUUUGAUUUUUGUAGUCCUGAGUAACUUCGAAAUAAAUCAGUUAUUGAAUAUCUGACUUAAGAAAGAUAAGAAUUAGUAACAGACAAAGUGUUUGUUUGGUAGGGACUAUUUAAUGUGUAUAAAUAUUUAUUUAAUCUCAUAAGUUCUUAUUAUAAUUUUUGUUAUUGUUUAGUUGGUUUUCUUAUAAAACUUUUGAAGCUUAAAUAAGCUAUUUUGCUUCUAUCGGCAAAAGCUCAAAUUUUGAGUUUUUAGGAGUAGAUGUUGAAAAGUUAUUUUUAAAUGUUAAAAUAUCUAAAAUAUCAUCUAUUUAUUUAAUUAUUUUAUUUUAUUCUUUCCAUAGCAUAACUUUAAAAAGUUUGACUAUUAAAGUAAUUUCAUAAAAUUUUAAUAAAAACUCUUAUUGACAACUAAACAACAAAAUUUUUUUUGAGUAAAAACUCUAUUUAUAAAAGCUCUACUUAUGUAAGUUCUACUUAAAAAGUUGUAUCAAACGGAGCUAAAAAUUUAUGAGGAUCAAUUUUUAAUAUUCGCACACCUUUCACGACAAGAAUUUAAUAGUGUUACAAACAUUUUUAUUAAUCAUUAACUUUAUUCUUUAUAAUGAUUGUAUUAUUUGAUAGGAUUUCUCAUUUCCUCUUAUGUUUUAAAAGUAAUUUUUUUUAUUAGAAAUGGAAUCUUAAAAAACUAAAAGACUUAAUAAGUUAUGAUAGAUAUUUUAAAUUUCAUUCCAAAUGAUGUAGUAGGUAAUAUUUUAUAAGAUCCAAGUAAAUUAAUUAUACUAUCUUACUAAUCAUUUGAUGGAUGUCACAUUAUUUAAAAUAAAAUUUUGAGAUAAAAAAUUUAGAAUAUGUAACACUACUAUAUAUAUAUAUUUAUUUAUUUAUGAUUUUCUUUUAAUAUUAUGGUGAAAUGACAAUCAACUUCUAAUCUCUAUCCAUCUUUCAUCUAAUAUAUUAAUAAUGCAUCAUAAGAUGUGUUAUUAUUGACGUUUUAUUGUGUUAAUCAUAAAUAGAAUGUAAAAAAAAUUAUCGCUUUUUUCAAGUACAUGCAUAAUUGUUUUUCUAAUAUCCUUUCUUGCGUGAGCCCGUGAACACACACGGUUUCUAAAUUCUAAUCUAUAAGGGAAAAUAAAUAACUAUAUUAAAAUAAUAUUAUUCAUUAAAGGCCAAAAAAAGGGGGUAAAACGUGAAAACGAUUCUAGUUUCUAAAUAUAGGGAAAAAGGUUAAAAGCGAAAUGUGCCUAUGAAAACGCACACACAAAAAAAAAAAAAAAAGGAAAACGUUUCAAAAUAAAACCGGGUUUAUUUUUUUUUUAAAGCACCGAUUAAAAAAAAAAAAAAAAGCAACGAGCAGCUCACACAAAUACUCUCUUCUCUUUCCACCUAAUUCUUCUUGCUUCUUAUAGCCAAAAAAAAAAAAAAAAAAUUCUUCUUGCUUCUUUAUUCAAUGGCUUCGUUACAGGCUUCACUGCCUUCAAUUUCGGCGAUUUGGUCCAGCUUCCCAGAUUCUUCGUCGAUCAAUUCAGCUUCAAUCGUUACUCUCACUAGCUCGCCGGCGAAUGAUCGGAGAAUUCGCCGGAGACUGUGGUGCAAAGCGAUGGUUCAGCAGGCCGUGCAAGGAGCUCCCGCCGCUUACGCCAAGGAGAUGGAGAGACUCUCCGCCAAAGAAUCUCUUCUUCUCGCCGUGAGUUUUUGUUUUUCUAUUGCCAAUUCUCUAUUUUUGUUUAGUUGAAAUCAAUCUCUGAAGGAAUUAUUUUUUAAUUUUAUUAAUUUCUUUUCACUUUGGAAACUACAUUUCUGAUGCUGCAUUUAAGAGAAUGCAGCAUAUUGUGAGAUUUAUUAAACGAUAAUAAAGAAAUUAUUUUAGCAAUUAUCAAAUAGUUAGCGAGAAUGACUUCUAGGAAAACUGCUUUCCGUAAAAGCAGUUUCUGGAAAAUCACUUAUCAAGUGCUGCUUGAGAAUGCAUUUGAACUAUUUUACUAGAAUGACGCAAAAAUGCUAAAUGCUUUUGAUGAUGCCGAAGGCAAGCACAUUGAUAUUGGGUUUUGCAAAUCUUUGAGCUAACUCUUUGCUUCUUGUUUUAGUUUAAGGAUGCUGGGGGCUUUGAGGCCUUGGUCGCUGGAAAGACAACGAAUAUGCAGCAGAUUGAUGUGAAUGAGAGGAUAACUGGUCUUGAGCGGCUCAAUCCAACCCCAAGGCCAACAACGUCGGUGCUUAAUCAAAACCUAGCAUUUUUUAUGCACUUGCUUUGGGAUGAGACUUUUAUUUUGUCAUUUAGCUUUCCAGGUCUCCAUUUCUUGAAGGUCGAUGGAACUUCGAGUGGUUCGGAUCUGGAAGCCCUGGAUUUUUUGUUGCUAGAUUCAUCUUUGAGUGAGUAAUUUGGUACUAUCUACCAUUAAAUGUUUUUGAAUCAAUUUUAUACUUACCAUAAACUUACCAUUUGUUUUUGUCUAUAUUUAGAGUUUGACUGAAUGGGCUAACUUCUACCGUUUGCUGUUGCAAUCACUUUCCUGUAGGAGAUUCCCCCCAACAUUGGCAAAUUUGUCAAAUAUGGAUGUGGUGAUUAAGGAUGGAAAAGCAAAUAUUACAGCCAAUUUCAAACUAUUGAACUUGGUACUUUCUCUGGAUGAAUUUUAUAUGCUCACAAUGUGGAUGAUCUGACAAAUGUCCAUUGCAUUUGCUAUUUUGCAUGUUAUGCAGCAUUACUAAGAUCUGUUAGAAAUGCAUGUGUAAGGAUAUCAAGUAAAUCCCACUUCAUAAAAAAGUAAGAUUAGUAGUUGACUAUGUACUUUUGGAGUUGGCCUAUGACCCAUGGUUUAAGCUUUUGGGAGUAGGGACCUGAUGUAUUGCUUUCCCAACUACUUGUGCCACUAAUAAGUGUUAUUAGAGCUACAUGAGGGUGAGAUUGCUGGAUAUGUAUAUUGAAAAAAAUGAAUUUGUAUACAAGGAGUGCUUAUGAGUCAUGACCAUUGGUUUAAGAUUUUGGGUUUACUGGUGAAUAAAAGAAGUGAAGCAGUAAUAUAAGAGGAGUUAGUUCAUUACACAUUAGCUUAAGAUUUUACUCAGAUGGUCAUCCAAUUCAUGUGUCUAAGAUCCUUUAAAAGUUAGUUUUGAUUAGCUUGUAAGUGGUCCCCAUAUCGAAUGGCCGUCAUCCAGUUUCAUACUUAUAUUUCAAUUUCUGCUCCCAAUCUAUUGUCUGAAGAUGAGAUAUUUACUGAUAGCUUGUUUAUCUGUAAUGAUGAGAGGUCAAUGCAGAUAGAAAGCAAAUUUAGUUUCUCCACCAAACUCCUUGUUGAGGGACCACUUAGAUUGAAAGAAGAAUAUAUAGAAGGAAUUCUUGAAUCGCCAACAGUUAUUGAAGAAACAAUUCCUGAGCAGCUAAAAGGAGCAUUUAAUCAGGCAGUUACUACUGUGCAGCAGCUUCCUGCUCCUAUUAGGGAUGCAAUUUCCGGUGGUUUGAGAAUUCCUCUCAGUAAGUGUUUCAUCAUCUUUAAUUUACCUUUCCUCUUUUGAUUGAGGACAAAUCUAUUGACUUGUCUACCCUUCGGAUGAACUUGCCCAGAGGAGUGCUAGAUAGUUGGUUUGAGAAUUCCUCUCAGGAAGUGUUUCAUCAUCUUUAAUUUACCUUUCCUCUCUUGAUCGAGGACAAAUCAGUUGACUUGUCCACCCUUCGGAUAAACAUGCCCAGAGGAGUGCUAGAUAGUUAGUUGUAAUUAAAAUCACUUGCUAUUAAAAUCAGUAGCAGAGAUUACUGCACUGGAAUCCAGUUCAACUGAUUUUUUUGAGAAAAAUUUAUGUUUUAGAAUUCUAAUUCCCUGCCUAAAUCAUUUUUGUGGGUGCUAUCGUGUUUCUCAUGGAUGUGAUAUUUGAUUAUCUGAAUACCCUUUGACAUUAAGGUCUUUGAAAAUAUAUGGAUUCUCCGCCCCUACAUACCUUUCUCUUCCUUUAUAUCUGUGGUGGUCUUGUUUCCAAAGAGUUCCCUUCAUUCAUCAAAGAUGUUGUCAUUGUUGCUGUUCUAAGACAACUUUUUCUUGCUCAGAUUUUAUAAUUGAUUAGCACAUACAGAUAGUACGAUAUACAUUACAAACCGACAAUCAUGUAUAGAGCCAUUGCUCUCUCUGAUGGUUCAUGAUAAACUCCACGUUGUCAUUUAAUCAUUGUACACUUGCUGCAACUAUUUGAAAGUGCACCAUGUUAGGUUAUCAGUGUUAAUUUUUUCUUUUUUCUUUUUUUUCAAAAAAAGAAAAAAAAAAGCUGGAGAAAAUUUAACUUGUCACAUGUAUUUCUUUCAAUAUGUAUCUUCAGCCUUGAUUUAUGUAUCUACGCUGAGUACUACUCUUUUUCUACUCUGAGUUCUACUCUUUUUCUCCUUCAGGUGGAACUUUCCAGAGGCUGUUCAUGAUUUCUUAUCUUGAUGAAGAGAUACUUGUAAGUUCGACUCUAUAAUCUCAUGUUCAUAGCUUCAAAGUAUUAUCUUGAUGGUAUCUUGUUAGAAGUAGAUAAUGCCAUAAAAUGUAUGGACAAUUGAAUUCUUUGUUUUGAUGGCUAUAAAUGCAACCUGAGCUGGUACAGGAUCAGAGGUGUUAGAUGACCAUUUGAGAUCAACAUGGAUACCACCUAAAUUUGAAAUUAUCCCAUUCAUUUUUCACCUAUUUUAUGUACUAAGUCAUCCAUAAACUGGAUUGCUGUCCAAAUGAAGUGGAUUGAUGUCUCUUAAUGUAUAAUUAAUGACUAAUUUUUCAGUAUUUUUACCAUCUGUUACGCAGGUGAGUCUUAUUGUGACUUUUCACCUAUCAACUGCCAUGUAUAUUCUAUUAUCUUUUGUCUUUCUACCGCUGUUGUAAUUCCAUAACUCUUUUUACUUUUCUAUGCCUUGUACUUGCCUAGUUGCAAUAGCAAAGACAAAUUAGACCCCGCCAGUUGCCUGGUUAAUUCUCAUAUUGCAAUGAAGAAAAGAUUUUGAUAGAUGUACAAUAGUUCCGUAUAGACUGUCACCUACCAUCCUCUAACCAAGUUUUUCAUUCCUCUAUUAUUCAUCUAUAUCUAAAUAAAUUUGUUAAUCAGCCUUAAACUUUUUGAGUAUUUGAUAAGAGUUGAACCAGUGCAUUCAUGUGAAAUCUAAUGUAGGUUAAGUGACUAGCUAGCAUGCAGAACUAUGAGCUUUCUCUAAGACCGGUCUAUCUAAUGCCAGUAACAGAUAUCACGUACUAAAAUCUUUUACGGGUUUUGACACAGAUAAUAAGGGAUGCAUCUGGAAUACCCGAAGUUCUUACAAGAUUGGAUCCACCCUCAUCUCCCAUAGAAGAACCUAUCACCGAGUAUGAGAGUUAAAGAUGCUCCUAUGCAUAGCUGAGUAUUCAUUUCGUCUCAUUCCCUCAGAUGUGUUUUGUUUUAUUCCAUUUGGAUGUUUAGUUCAUUGUCCUUUAUUGUAUUCAAAUGACCAGUGAUUAGAAGAAAUCCUUCAUCCCCACAGAAGCAUUAAACUUUUUUUGUUCUCUGUUUUCUCUUAAAUGAAUUGACUGGAGAUUAUGUCUCUAGGCUUGUGUUCAAGUCGUGUGGGCAUUGUUUUGACCAUCUUGGUCACACAGUGAUUUAGUUUUACAAUUUGCAAUAUUUUCUAAACUUUAUUCUUUAGAAAGAUUGCUAUUAGGUAAAUUUUACUUGUAGAUUAUCAAGGCUUGUGCUGAAAUGUCAAUAGGAAACAAUAAUUAAUUACAAUUUGGUGUGAAAUGUGAACAUUUUUGACUUGUCGCAAACACUAUUGUUGUUGCCUGGCUGUCAUGUUGAUUAAGUUUUGUCCGCAGAAGCAGAUACUGUGUAUUGAGAUAUCUUUCCUGAGCUCUGUAUUUAGAACAUUCUUCUGUGACAUUAAAUAGUCUUUUAUUUGUAUUUUUUUUCCAUUUGUUUGUUAGGAUUCAUAUUGACCUUGAGGAAGGGGUCUUUAAUGUUUGUUUGCUUGAAAUGGAUUUGUUUUUCAAACUUAACAUUGAAAACUUGGUAAUUAGUAUGUCUUAAUAAAUUUAUAGUGGUUUUUUUUUUUCUUUUUUUCACUUAAUAUGAAUGCAUAUAAUUUAUUUUCAUAGCAGACCAUAUUUAUUUUUAUCUUAUUAAAACCUUACAUUUCUAUACCAAAAAUUUAAAAACAAACAUAUUCAGAUUUUUUUUCCCCAAAAGAUAUGGUGGUGAGCAAAGCUUAAAUUCAAUAUUAAUUAAAUAAAGUUGUUUGAAAAUCACUCAGUCAUGCCUUUAGGGCACAAAGAUAUUCAAAACUGAAUGUGAAUCAAAUGACAUUCAUAUUUAUUAAGAGCCUAGAUAAAAAAUAAUGAAAGCUUACCACAUAUUCCUCUCUAGAUUAAUAGAGACAUUUUUUUUUUUAAUUAACUAAUCAUGGAAGGAGAUGAAGAGGGAAAGUUUCAAACACGGGGUAGGGUUUAAUUAAAAAAAGCAUAUUGAAUAACUUUAGCAAGAAUUUUAAUAUAUCAAAAAACCUAGUGAAUUAAUUCUUCUAACACGAGCUCUAAUUUUCCACAAACCAACAUAAGAAUCCCACGAUGGUGGUUUCAAAGUCUUCUAUCAUCCUGAUCAUACUUUCAAUUUGUAAUGUGUAUUGGAUCAGUUGUACCACCGUCCAAGUAGAUUAUAUUACAAUUUGUUUGUGACAUUAAGUAGUCUUUUCUUUUUUUCCAUUCAUUUGUUAGGAUUCAUGUUGACUUUGAGGAGGGAGUGUUUAAGGUUUCUUUGCUUUAAAUGGGAUUAUUUUUCAAGCUUAACAUUGAAAACUUGAUAAAUCUAGAGUGGUUUUUUCCUUUUUCACUAAAAAUGAAUACAUAUAAUUUAUUUUCACAGUGAAUCCUAUUUAUUUUUAUCUUAUUAAAAUCUUAUAUUUCUAUACUUAAAAUUUAAAAAAAAAAAAACGCAUUCAUAUUUCUUUUUUAAAAAAUUAAGGUAGUGAGCAAAUCCCAAAUUUAUUUUUAACCCUUUUCCACUCCAAGAUUCAAACUCGAGUAGAUAGCUAACUAAAUUUAUUUGAAAACUACUUUGUCAUGCCCUUAGAGGCACAAACAUAUUCACAUUUAAACUUUUAGAUGUCAAUCAAAUGACAUUCAUGUUUAUUAAGAGUUUAGAUAAAAAUAACAAAAGCAUACCACAUAUUCUCUUUGGAUUACUAGAGACAUUUGUUUAUUUGAAAUUAACUAAUCACGGAUGGAGAUGAAGAGAGAAAUUUUAAAAGAAAAUUAAAACAUAUGUGGUAUGAUUUUAUUCAGUAGACAUAUUGUUAAAAUAUAUCAACAUCAUCUUCUUAAAUUUUAGAUUUGUAACAGCUGACUUUAGUGAGAAUUUUACUAUAACAAAACCCUAGUGAAUUAAUUCUUCUAACAUAAGCUCGAAUUUUCCACAAAACAACGUAAGAAUCUUAUGAUGCCGAAAAAUUAAAAGAUCAAUAUUUAAGAGAAGCUAAGUUUCUGAAUAAUAAGAAUAUUAUUGCAAUAUCUGAAUGAAUAAAAUUAGAGUUUUAGGGCCCUUUAACACCAACCUUAAGUAUAGCAAAUUUGUUAAAGUAGGUAAAUCUGAAAUAUUAUUUAUAAUAAAAUUCACCUAAUCUAAAUAAGGAAAACAAAACAAAUGCCACCCAAAUUUGAUAUCUAAAAAUAAAAGAUAAAAAUCUUGAAAGUAAUAAGAAAAAUAGAAAAAUAACCUAAAACUGCUAAACAAUUAAGAAAGAAAUGAAAUUUCUGGUUUGACCAUAGGACAUAACAACAUAAUUAAUUCUAGGUUCAAUUCGUCUCGUCAUAAAUUUCAAAAUAGUAUAUAUAUAUAUAUAUAUAUAUAUAUAUAUAAAAGGGACACUCGUAGCCAAGUUGUGACCUCCUGAAGUACUGUACUCACCUUACGCAAGCAAAAUACAUCAGAAUUCGACGGUGGUUGGUUCAAGUUCUUCUAUCAUUUGAUCACACUUUAAUUUUGUAAUGUGUAUUUAAACAGCUGUGCUUACCGUCCAAGUAAAUUAUUUUACAAUUUGCAAAUAAACUUUACCAAAAAUGUUGACUUGAGCCUGCUAUGCCUUUAAGUCAAUAUUUAUAGUAAACCCUUAUCUCUAAACUUGGUUUUCUUAAGCAAACGAGAAACACAAUUAGAACUGUUAAUGAAAAAUAUCUUCUAAAUCAUUACUUUAUAAAAUAGUUUGCUAUUUUUAAUUUUAUCUGUCGGCAUCAAAUAUGUCACUACAACCAUGUUUUCUCUGUGUAUCAAGCACACGAAGCAAACCCAUAUAAUGUUAAUGGAGAUGAGUCUCCAUAAAAAUUAGUAAGGAUCUCGGCGACACAUUCUAGUGAAUCACUUUUAAGUAACUUUUUAAAAUACCCAAAAUUAUUAUCCAUGUAUUACUAAAAUGAAAAAAAAAUAUUAGCUCUUACAAAUCAUAUAUUUUGAGUAAAAAAAUAUGUUUUCUUAAUUUGAGUUUACUAAGCUUGGAUCGAUCUAUGAAUACGGAUAAAAAAUUAUACGAUGGUCCAUUUCGAUUUUUUUUUUUUUUACAUAUCUUAGAUGAUAUAUUUAUCAUUAUUUCUUAAUGUUAAUAUUAUGGGAGACAAAGUUAUGCUUUUAAUGUAUUUAAAAAAAAUGUUUAGUUUUUUAGACCAGGGGCAUAAUAGCAUAAGAAGAUUCUAUUUGUAUGAAAUUUGAGAAGCCAAUCAAAAUGUUUGCUCUAGGUAUUAAGAUUAGUGUUAGUGGGGGACGACUUGGUGUAAUGAAAAAAGAUUAUUUUCUUGUAAAUAUAUAAUAAGUCUUGCAAGAAAAGAAAUGCAAUUUUAAAAUAAUUAAUAUACAGUAAUGUAGUUUUGCAAUUUGCACGUUCAUGUUUGGUUUGCCAAACAAUAUUCUUCUGUAAGAGAUCGUCGAAUACAUUAAUUAAAAUAUAUAUAUAUAUAUAUAUAUAUAUAAUUAAGACAAGGGUCACUGCUCACAUCCAAUGGGAAAUGGACAAAAAUUGAUCCAUAAUUAAACCAAAACUAUAUAAGGAAAAAAAAUGAAUAAAUAUAAUAAUUAAUCUCAACUAAUGGAUUUACAUCCAAUUGGAGAAUACACAAGUAAUAAGAACAAGUAAUUAAUUUCAAUAUUCUCUGCAGAAUCAUUAGUAGGGAUGGCAAAAAUCUCCACGAGGACGGGUAUCCUCGGGGAUUUUCUCCAUUCGGGGAGGGUAUGCAAAUAAUUUCAUACCCAAUUUCUUACUCGGGGAGGGGACGGGGAUGAGGUGGAAUCCCCAUCCCCUACCCAUUUUCCCAUUUUAAUUUUUAAUUUAAUUUUUAUUUUUUAAAAUUACUAGUAAAUAAAUAAUAAAAUUUGAAUUAUAAAAUUAUAAGUAUUGGUAAAAAUUAAAAAUAUCAAAAUAUUUAUAUUAUUAAACUUUUAGGCCUAAUUAACUAAUUAAAGUCCUAAAUUUUUAUUUAUGACAUUAAAAAGACCGGACAGAUUCUAUUAGCCCAAAACUUUUGUUUUAAUUUUAAUAUUCAUUAAAUAUUUUAAACUUAAAUCUAUUUUUUAUUUAUCUUAAAUCUAUUUUUUAUUUAUUUUUAGAUGUUAUAAUUGCCCACGGCAAAUCACAAUUUUAAUAUCUAAUCUAAUCUAAUAUUUACUCUUGAUUUGCUUUGACUUAACUAUUGUGUUAUAAAGGGAAUAUUCCACAUUUAUAAAGUGUCCACGCCACCAUUGAAAAGUUAAUUUUGAAUCUAAAUUUGAUUUUAUUUGUAACAAUUUUGUAUUAGGCUAUUAAUUUAUUCAUGAUAGUUUGUAUCCCUUGCAUGCUGCGUUAUUUACUAAUUUAAUGUAUGUGACUUUUGUAAUGGAUAUUAAUGUAAGAUAUAUUUCGAACUUUACUUUUAUUUGAAUUUUUUAUUUUAAUAUGAUUAACUCAAAAUCGAAAACAAAAAAAUAUAUAUUAGUUAUUCGGGGAUCAGAGACCCUCGGGGAUCCCUUGUUAUUAUUCGGGGAGAGGAUGAAGAUUCUCUUAAAUAAUUUUGACGGGGAUAGGAAGGGGACGAGGACAUACGCAAAAUAUCGGGGAUGGAUACGGGGAGAUUGGUCCCCUCCCCUCCUCUCCCCAUUGCCAUCCCUAAUCAUUAGACUAGCUAUUGAAAGUGUUAAGUUAUAGCUUGUACCAUUUACAACACAGAGAAAUUAAUUAACGCCAUAAGCAGAUAAAUAUAAUUUAAGUUAAAUUAAGCAUCUAAAAUUAAAAAAUAAUAAUAAUAAUACCCUUAAUAACCAAAACAUUUAACCAAGAAAAUGAAAGAUCACAAAAAAAGAAAAGAAAAGGGUUAAGCAUUAAUGAGUUUCUUCAAAUUAAACCAAGCAUAUGAUGAGAAGUAUCCACUGGAAGCAAAGGAAAUUCAUCAAGUUCUUGAAUGAAACCAUCAAAAUCCGCAAAACCAUGUAAGAAUCCACCUGAAUUUGCCCCAUUCCACAGGAUUUGUUCUUCUUCUUCUUUAACCUUUUCUCUUGUCUCAAACCCAAAAAAAGUGCUUCUGAGUUCAACAUUUUUGGCCACCAAAUCCGGCUUUUCCAGUACCGAAGUGCUUCUUGGCUCUUCCUCUCUUGUAGGGUUUCUUGGUCUCUUCUUGCCAACCUUUUGAUGAUGAUGAUGAUGAUCAUGCUCAGUUGGCUUUCCUGUGAGUCUUUGCACAAGCUCUCUAAAGUUUUCCACAUCGGUCUUGAUGAUUUCUGGUGCAAAUAUGUGAAUGAUUCUGAUCUUCGGCUUCGUUUUGGAGAUUGGGUGUGAAUUCUUAUGCAUAGCUAGUGGUGAUGGUGUUGAAUGUGAGAUGUAAGACGGUUUCUUGAUGAUACGCUCCAUGGAAAGUGCUUCUGAGAGAAACUAAAGAGAGAGGGAUGAUGAUCUGAGGAGUUGGUGAAUUUGUUUAGAGGAAAAGGAGGGAGAGGGCUGCUUAUAAAUACAAGAAGAAUAAGUGACAAUGGAGAAAUUUUGGAAGGAUAAAAGAGGCUGUCUAUUGAGAACAAAGAUUGAAUGAAACAAAUCGUUGUCUGCUAAUUAAAAUGCAAGGAGUCAAUUAAUUACUAUAUAAUAAAAAUUGAGUGGUCGCUCUUAAUUCCCAAAUUGGAUUAGCUUAAUUAUUGUAUAUUUUAUGGUAUGUGUACAUGUCAUAUACAAUUUGAGACAUUGAGGGAGAGAGGAUUUGGAACAUAAAUAUUUCUUAUAUUUCCCACUUGGAAAAUGACUGGAAGAACCCUCAUAUUGUUCUUUAAACUAAGUUAUGCUAAUUAUGUAUAUUAUACAUUGGUUCACUUGCAUUGGCCACACGCUACUUGCAUAUAUAUUAUACCUUUUUUCAUGGUCCAUGCUUUGUUUUAGUUUUAUUUAAUAGGAAAAUGAGAAAAAAAAAUGAUAAUUAUCAUGAGAUAUGAAAUUUGAAUAUCAUUCACUUAAGUGGGUCGUCUUUUUUUUUUCUUUUUUUAAUAGUGUAAGUUUACUUGAUUAAUUUAUUUUAGUAAAUAAAAUUGAAAUUAUGAACAUUCAUAUAUAAAUUUUUUUCUUUUUUCUCCCAAGAAAUACCCUUUUAAUGGAAACAUUACUUUACACAAAACACGACCGCUAAGUAAUGCAAUUGCUUUUCAUCGAUAUAAUAUAGUAAUUGAAAUGAAACGAAGUAACAUUUCCUCGUGAGAUAGCAGCAAAAUAGUGAGCGGAUUAGCAAAUUCUUAGAAAAAAGGAUUACAAUAAGUCAAAUGAGUUCAUUGCCAUAUUCUUAAAGAUCACUUUGUCUACUAAUUAGGUAGCUGUGAAUUGUGAUGACAGAACAAGGGUAGUUUGGUCAUUAGCACAAAAACCUAUUUUUGCUAUGAGAUUCCAUUACCUAUUAUUAUUAUGCGAAGCCGCGUAGAGUUGGAAGAAAAUCAAUGCCAUGGCUUGCAAAAAUCUGCUUCUAUAAAUAUUUUCGUCAUGCUUAUGUUAUAAUUACGUCAUAAUUAAGCAGCUACUUACAUGUGUAACUUGAUUUGAUUAACAAAGAUAAAAGAUCUCGAACAAAUCAAUUAAUUAUCUUGGAAAAUUGUUAGCAUGGAUUAGAUAAGCCAAAUUAAUUGACUGUGUGCUGGCAUGUUUUUUGUCGUUACACAUUCCGUACAUAUUUAGUUAGGUUAUAUAUACGCAUAUUUUUUUAUAUUUUUUUAAUUUGUGAUUUGCUUUCGUUUUUGCACCAUCCAUGAAUCAACAAUGUUUCACCAUAAAUUGAGAAGUAAAUUAUUCAUUUUCACUUAUUUGUUUUACUUUUUUACCAAUUCAUGACUUUUACCCCCUUUUUUUUUUUACUAUGUGGAUCCCCUCAUAUUUUAGCAACUAUUAAAUAAUACUUAAUUCAUAAAAGUCAUUCUCCAGUAUGGUUGUUUAUAUUUCCAUUACAUAAGCGAAUGACUAAAACAUUUUUAUUAACUAUGUAUAUAUAUAUAUAUAUGAGCAAAUUAGGGCCCUUUAAUAAAAUAAUUGAUGGGUGAUUCCAAAUAAUCAAAAUUAUUUUAUGUACUGAUAAGACAGUAAAAUGCUUUCAAAAUAAACUAGUGUUCCAAUAAAGUACUUUCUGAACCCUAACUGAAACUCAAAAUGGUUGAUGCAAAAAGUGAUGCGUUUUGAUGCAUGUUGUUUACUUUGUCAACUCACACGGCCGUUGUACAGAUUGUACAAUCUCUCGAACUUAUACAUUCCAAAUUGAAAAAAUAAAAAAAUAAAAAAUUAUUUUAGCCGAAAGUAUAAAUUAAUAUUAUGGAAUCUCACUGGCUCUAUCUAUGGUGUACUUGAAUGUGUUCAUUUGUCUUUGAGCUUUCAUCUUGUAGCACCAUUGCCUGCUGCUAAUUAGCACAUUUAAUUAGGUAAUUAAUUAACUACAUUUAAAAAUAAAAGUUAAAUUGUAUUUGCCGUUUGUUUAAAUGACUCUGUCAUUAUUUAUUAAUGGAGCUUUCGAUUUAAAAAAAAAACCCAACAAUCAUAAUCUCCAAACAAUUUGGCAAAACAUUAAAAAUAAUUUUUUUACAAAACAAGUUCCAGGAUGUUUCAGAAACCUAGCAUUUUUUUUUUUUGGUCUUUUGAAAUAAGAAUUAACCUGAUAUUACAAUUCCACAGCUCAUCAUUUUCACUCAAAUUUGUUCAUAUUGUCACAUUCAAACAAGGACAAGAGUUUUCAAUAAACCGGCUUGAGCAUAUAUUAAUGCCAAAAUAUUAAUUUUCCUUUAAUUCAGAUAUCAAGCACGGUUUGAUUGGUUUUUUUUUUCCCCAUAAAUAGUGACAUUAUAUAUAUAAGGUGUUUUAUAUAUAGUGUUGCAUUUUAUGUGUAACUCUAGUCCAUAAAAUGAUAAAAGUAAGGGAAAAUACUCCAUUAUCAUAUUCUACUCCUAGUUCAAAUGGUGCAUAAAGAAUAUUGAUUGAUUGAUUGAUUUCACAAUUCACAUAUACCAAAAGAAACAUCAUUCCUUGAUAAAUCAUCAUUCCGAGUUGACUUAAUUGGCGUAAUAUAAUAAAGAUUCAUUAGUCCUAAAUCUUUUUUUAUAUACAAAUAUGUAAAAUGAUUUUAAUUACUAGAAAGAGAUAUAAUUUUGUUUACAUAGUAAAUUUAUUUUAAUGAUUGAGAGCUACGCGUGAUCAGAGUUUAGUAGGACAGACCAAUGCAUUGGAGUGUCAGUUUUUUUUUUUUCUUUUUUUGCCCGAAAUUUGAAACUUGUGAUUUACUUUUGAAUAUGUGAAAUUAUAAUUUUCUUUUUGGUAUGGGGGGAUAUUUUAACGUGUGUUUGAUAUUUUUAAAUAUAAUUGAGAUUCAUUCCUAUGCGACAAUGUGACAGUUGUAUUAUAUUAAAAAUAUUUUUGCAAGCAUUCAAAAAUAAUAUUGAUUAGUAAAUGGAUUUCGGAAAAAAAGAGGGAAAAGAAAACAAUUUGAAAAUAGUAUUAAAUUUAUGCGUGAAAAUUAAUUAUUAUUAAAUAAAAAAAGGGAAUUGUAUGGGUGGAGAGCAUGAUAGCCGGCAGCACAGAGGCAUAAACGCGUACGAUACAGCCUUGCGGCCAGUGAAAUCACUGCUGAAACAGAAUAAUAACCGCAUGAUGUGCACGUGAACUGAACUGAGAGAUUUGAUCACACGGAUACAAGGAUUUGGUAAUCGUGUUAACGUCAGCGGCGGAGCACGAGUCUCGUGUCGUGCCUGCCGGCUUGGUUGGGCCGGCCCUAAAUAAGUACAUAACAUGACUGACACGUGUCAAUGAUCAGCCAUCGUGAGUGCCUGACGUGAAUGCCACGUGGCAGGAUUUUCUUGUGUGAACACCCCACUGCACCCGCGAUCAUGAGUUCCCUUGGCGGGAGCCAGCCAACCAAACUCUUUAACUGAAUUUCGUGUGGUGGGGACCACCCGUCGAUGUGAUUCUAAGUUGCGGCAGUUGCUCUGCAUGACUCGUAUCUUAGCUGGAUCCAGUUAUCUUUUACUAACGUGCGCAUCGCACAUCAUUUUUCUGUUUUUUUUUUCUUUUUCCUUUUCUGGCUACAGGCUUAAUUCCUUUCUAAUAUAAGCACCGCCUGAAGAAAUUUUGGAUUAUAUAGACAGAGUUUGAGUCCGCACCUUUUGACCCCCCCUCAAAAUUCCGCAUAAAACUCUUUUUAAUUAAAGUUACUCAAGUAACCAAAAAUAAUUUUCUUUUUCUUUUUAUAAAAAUUCAAUUAAACUCUUAAAUUGAUUAUUCUUCUAAAAAAAAUUUACACUUGACCCAUUUCAUAAUUCAUAUUUAUAUUUAUAUUUAUAAUUUAGUUGAAAAAUAGUUAUCUUUUGAGAAAAUUGUAAGGGUUUAGAGUUUUAGAGAUUUAUGUAGCAAAGAAAAAAACAAUUUAAGAUUUUAGAAUUUUUGUGUAUUUUAUAAUAAAAACUUAAAAUAAAUACUUUUUCUAGAGUCAUAUUUUUAGGGAGAUGGUUAAUUUUAAUAUAUGGAUUUCUAUUCUAUAAAUUAAACUUGAGUAUUUAAGGAAAUAAAAAGUUUGUUAUAAUUUAUAAGGAUUAUGGAGGGGUGCUAACAACUCUGCUCAUAUAGGAUUACGGAAUGAGUGUACCUUUUGACACGCAUCAAAAUUUCUUUUAUGACCUCUUUUUAAUUAAAAUUACCUAAAUAACUGAAGUCAAAUUAAUUCAUUUCUUAUUUUGAAUUAAAAUUCAAUUGAACACAUAAAUAAUAUUAUUCUUUUAAAAAACUUUUUACACCACCUUAUUUCAUAAUAUAUAUUAUGAUUUUAAUUUAAAAUAUUUUUUUGAGAGAAUUAUAAGAAUUUAGAAUAAUGAAGAUAGAAACUAUAUAAUAAAGAUAAAAUUUUUAUUAUUUUAGGAUUUUUACUUAUUUUAUAAAUAAAACUUAAAGGAAAUGCUCUUUGAGGGUGAAGUUUUAUGUGGCAAGAUGGUUAAAUUAAUACGUGGGUUUAUUUUUUUAAAUUAAACUAGGAAUAUUUUAGAAAAUAAAAUUCAAAAAGAGUGUAAUAAGAAUUUUAGGGGUGUUAAAACUCCACUCUUACAGAAUAUCUUCGCUCUAUUAGUGUAUCGAUUUCAAGCUCACCUAUGUUACAUAAGAGAUUGAGUAGCAAGACAACCCAGUGGACCCAAAAGUCAAAGAAUUACCAACACAAAGUGUUUAUAAACAAAGGGGUGUCCUUCGAGUUCUUUCACAAUACAAAAGCUUUCGUAUUGCUGUGCAUGAUCGUUUCUGACUUUUUUCUUUUUGCGUUACCUAAUGACAAUUUUUUUUUUGAUAGGGGGUUACCUGAUGAUGUUGAAGCUUCAAAGACACGAUAGUGCCGUACCAUCUGAUUAUAAUGUAGCCAAAGACUCAAGCAUGGGGCAAGCUUUUGAGUCUCUUGCAAGCUAGAUAAUUAAUUUUUUAACAUAACGAAAUUAUUGGAGGAAACAUAACUAAAAGUCUAUAAUUAAAGUUCAAUUAAAAGUAACAGAACAACCUCAAUCACCACAAAAGGGAAGCCAAAUUACCGGACAAGAAACACAAAACUUCCCAUAUGGCAUUUUUGCUACAACUUUUCCUCAAAUUCAAAUCUUAUUUCUGUACCAGAAGACACCUUUGUUCUGGUCACCUUCGUCCGGUUCAACGUAAAGACACUCCUUUGCUUCCCUCCACAUUGCCUUAUAAAAUGGAGUCCCAUCGAACUGAUAAUAUUCUCCCAAAAUUGGCUUUAUUGCCUUCGUAGCCUCCAUUGCAUGAUAAUGUGGCAUUGUUGAAAACAAAUGGUGAGCUACAUGAGUAUCAGUAAUGUUAUGGAAGACCUUGUUCAAGAUCCCAUAGUCUCUAUCAACAGUUGCUAGGGCUCCUCGGAACCAGUCCCAUUCUGAAGAAUGGUAAUGUGGCAGUGAAGGGUGAGUGUGCUGCAACAAUGUGAUCAAAACGAGAAAUCCGUUCACUACCAGCAAAGGUCCUCCAUAGAUGCAGAACACGUACACAAGUCCUUUUGCUGCUACAAGACAGUAGAGACUGUAAAUCAUAGCUAAAAUUCCAGCAUCAGAAAUGAAAAUUUGGAGCCUCUCGCGGUCUGAGUAGAUGGGGCCAUAAGGAUCAAAGUGGCAAGCAAAUCUAUCAUAAGGCCUACCGGAUACAUUGAAUGCCAGGUACAAAGGCCAGCCAAGGGUGAGGGUGACAGUAAGUGUUAUGACUCGGCCAAGUGGGUUGUUAAGGUACUUGGCAUACCAACCAAUGGCGGUUUUUUGCUUGGGGACAAAUACUUCAUCACGAUCAAGGGAUCCUGUAUUGGAGUGAUGGCGGCGAUGGCUAUACUUCCAAGAGAAGUAGGGGACAAGGAGGCAAGAGUGGAGGAUAAGGCCAACAGUGUCGUCAAGCCAUUGAUAGUCACUGAAGGCAUGGUGGCCACAUUCAUGAGCUACAACCCAAACUCCAGUUAAAAUGCAGCCUUGAAGAGCCCAGUAAACUGGCCAGGCCAGAUAAGAGAGAGGGUGAGGAAGUUGGUGAAUGUAAGUGUCGGCAAUGUAGUAAAAGACAAAGGCAAUGGUGAGGUCAUGAACAACGUAGGAGAAUGAACGGAGAACAGACCGCUCAAAACAGUGAGGUGGGAUAGCUUUCUUUACUUGGCUGAGUGUGAAUGGUGGCUUUGAGCAUGGAACUCGCUUCAAGGGAUCAGAAUCCACCUUCAUGGGCGUUGAAGGUACAGCCAUUCGUCCACCUGCACCCAUUGUUCGUCAACCUGGCCACAGUAUACAAGUAUACAAUCAACUUCAAGCAAACAGCUGUUUGUAAAUAACGCUACACAGAAAAAAUCAAAAGCAGAAAUUAAGGCGCCCACUUUAAAGACCAGAUUAUGGCCAACCAAAGGCCUAGUUCAACUAAAAAAUAACCUUAAUAUUAAUUUAAUUAUUUUUCCUUUCUAAUUUGUCAUCAAAUUCUGAGUCCAACUGAGACUACUUUCAUAAAUUAAAAGGUGCCAAAUUUCUUACAGAAAAAAAAGGUAAGGGAAAUUAUUUAUAUGACUAAUAAAGAGAGAGGAUUUAAAAAAAAAAAAACUGAACAAAAGUAAUUAUGAGAAGCAUAGAACUGUAAAGCAACAAAUGCUUUGUUGAAAUUGCUAGUACCCAAGAUACAAUCUACUACUGUAUUAUAAAGCUAGUAAUUCCAAAUGUUAGUCACUGGUAUUACUCUAUCAUCCACAAUGGUGACAAGUUAAUUGUCAAAUAAAUGAUCCCAUAGCAAAUUUCCCAUGAGGAAAACGACCAUACUUUAAUUGAUUAGCGUUAACUAUUAGAACUCGUUUGGUAUGCAAGAUAAGCUUAACAAAAAUAUCUUGGAAGCUUAAAAUGGUAGUCACAAUUGUAUUAUCACACCACCACCCAAUAAAAUUUUGUCACACAUACACAAUGCACUAAUGAUAUAUUUAUUAUAAAUAAGUUAAUAAAUACAUUAUGCAUAUGUAUGGCAAAACAUCAUUGGGUGGUAGUAUGGGGACAUAAGAGUGAUGACACCAACAAAGACUUUUUCGAAAGACAAAUUAUUGUGAAUUUCGUUGGGGGAUAGAGAUCCUCUCCUAGUUCUUUUUUUUUUUAUUCUCCUCAUAGCUCUCUUAGUUUAAUGAGUGGCUAAAAUUGAGUUUUUAAUUUUGGUGUUGAUAAUCAAGUCAGUUUUUUUCACUAAAUUUAAAAAACUUAAAAGAGACUAAGCGAGAAUAAAAUUAAGACAGGAUCCUAAUUCCUUAUUGGGACACAGAUCCAGGGUUCAAAUCUCCAAUUUUGGAGCCACUUAAUUUAUUGUUUAGCAAUUUUCCAUUGAAUAUUUUUUAAAGCAUGCAUCAAAAUUUCACAACUAAUACUUAUUACUUAUUAUUUACAAUAAAAUAAUUAAAUUACAAUAAGAGAUGCAUUCUGUAAUAGGAAUUAUAAUAACUUGACGAUGAAAAGGGGGCCACGCUUGAAUUUUUCUUUUUUCUUUUUAAUCAACAUCUAAUGAUGCAAUUUCCACACGUGGACAGUUACAACAAAGCAAUGAAAUUUCAAAUUAUGGACAAGUAAAGAUGCAUAAUUAUUUACAAAUAAAUUUAUGAUUAUUCCUCAAUUAUAAUGUAAAGACGUCAAAACACUUGUAGUGAUUAGACUAGAGACUCACUACAAGGCUUCAAAAACAGAGAUUUGAAGUUAAUUCAGCGGCCCACUUCAAGAUCAGAUUAGACAAACCGAAGACCCACAUUGACCUACAAUUAUAUUUUAUAGGAAUGUUCGCAGAUCAAAUUUUGUAGUUUGCAUAUUAAUUCAUAUCUGAUUCACUAUUUUACGGAUUAUAAAUUUUUUAAUCUAAUCUAAUCUACGGAUUGGUGAAAUUAACUUCAAAUUCAAUCCAUACAUCUAUGGAUUAGAUGUGGAUUUGACCUAAUUUAUAUCCAAUCCACUAUUUUGUGAAUUGGUUUGCAGGCUAAAAUUUUUUACUUCCAUACUAUCCACAAACUAACUAAAUAAAAAAAUUAAUAUAAAAAUAAUUUUCCUACCGAUCAAAUUCAAGAUUAAAUAAGAUUUAAAUAAAUUAGUUACUUAAAUAUAACUAGAAAAUACAUUUAAAGUUUAAAAUAUAACACAUCAAAAAGAAAAAUAUCUCAUUUAUUUAAAUCAGUAUAUGAAAAUUAACUGCUUAGGAAGUUAUAUUUGUUUAUUUAAUUAUUUUUAUUUUAUAUUAUUAUCGAAUAAGAUAUAAUGUGGUAUUAAUGUAACUAUAUUCUAUAAUAUGGUAUUAAUGUAACUAUAUUCUAACCAUUUAUUUAUUAGUAAGUUCUGAUGCCAUAUUUAGAAGUUUUAAGUUUUUUAAUUAUAUCUACAGAUUCGCAGAUUUUUACAUAUCUACUGUAAAUUUUUAAAAUUUCAAUCAAAUUCAAUCUAAUUUACGAAUCAGAUUUUUACAAAUCAAACCAAUUGAACAAAUCGGAUCGAAUUGGAAUCUAAACACCUUUAAUAUUUUAUAUUUUUCCUUUCCGAGUUGUCAGUUCACAUGACAGUAUGACACGGUCCAUCACUUUCAUAAACCAAAAAAGUGCUAACUGUUUAAAGCUAAUAAAAAUGAUAUCAAUAAGUUGUGAAAACCAAGGCUGACCAAAGACAUGUAAUCACGUGACCCAUAGAAGUUUAGCAAAGAUUAGAAAACAAGUAGUUGACACUGAAAUUGCCACGGCCCCACCAUGCCACCAUCUGCUAAUGACAGCUAUUGUAUUAUAUAAUUAUAAGUAGCCACUAGCCACUGAAAUCACUCAGCAUCAGGUGAGACUGAUCAGUGAUGUCCAAAAAAUGGUGUAUACGCGUAAAGCGCACUCAUACCAUUCGUGUGGUAGCUUUUAUAUCAUCAUCCUUGCCCUUUAUGGUCGGUCAGCCGAGCUUUUGGAAAACGAUGUGCAAUAAAAAAAAAAUAUCAGCACAUUCAAUGGAGCUUAUUAAUCGGAAUUGUACUGUUUAAGUUAAAAAUAUAUACAUUUAUAAAGUACACAACAAAUUCUAUUAGUCAGAUUUUAUUAGAAGUCUAAAAUCAAAUAUUUGCAGUACAUUUUAAAAAACUGACUACUAACUUAAAAAAUUUGCUUCCAUAAAUAUUAGGGUAAUGAUACUUUACAUCCAAAAUUUCCCCAUGAGAGAAAUCGAAUCCUAUUAGGGGAGGGUGUGAGUUCACCAUUUGACAACUAAGCCCAAUAGCCAUCAAGGGAUCCUAUUAACGAAAUGAAAGCCUACCUUACAAUAACCAUAAGAAAUCUUCUUGUUCUUCGUUUAUUUAUUUUGAUGAAUCUUGUUCUUCUUGAUCACAAGUUUUUAUCAAAUUCUUACGCGACCUAAACUCUACAAUAAGAGUCAAAAUGAAAAGGAAACUCUUCCGAACACAUUUCAAAAAGUCAUACUUAAUUAUUAAACAUAACGCUGAAAAUUCGUGUAUAACUAUGCAGAAGAUAUAAUCGUGCAAUGAACCAAGCCAGCUUCCACAAAAACUCUGGGCCAUCGUAUUUAAUUAGUGCCGAUUUAUUGGAAAAACAAGGUCUACUCUGAAUGCAACUUUAGACGAAGACUCAAAAGAAGCCGUCUCAAAUUAUAAACGUAUAGGUUUAUCAAGUGAUCAAACAGAGUCUACAUCAGCCGAUAACGUGGAAUUAGAGCAUAAAUACCAGUAUUAUAUGAUAUUAGCCUAAUUAAUACCUCUUAAUCAAAUUCAAAGUCCAAAAUUUUGACAAUUAUUAUUGUUAUUAUUUUCACACGAUUUUGAAGGGACUCAGACCUAAAUAAAGGAAAAAGGUAUCAAGCAACUCAAAAAAUUGUAAUUUUGUGACGAUUAAAGUCACUCGUUCCUAGCAAGCUAAACUAUAAUUACUACCUGAAGAAAUUCUCUGUUUUCAGACUUACUAAGUAAUAAUAGGUAAGAUACAACUAACUUAUAAUUGACAUAAAGUUUGAACAAUUAUAACCAAAACUUUAAAUUAACAAAUUCAUGAUGGAAAAAAAUUAAGCAUACAAUUCAAAAGCAUGCCACAGACUUGGACCAGAUAUUUUUGUGGAAUAAAAGAACAACUUGCUUUUUAACAUGUUUGGCCUACUUGGAGUUGCAACUUGCUUCUAAUUUUUUAUUAUAAAAGUAUCAUGAGGAAAAGAGUUGAAAUUAUUUAUUUAUUUGAUUAUUAUUAAUUCUUUUUGAAGUGCUUAUGAGAAGACGAAACAGGACAGACAACAAGAUGGGAUUCUUUGCAAACACCGAGGAGUGACAAGAGUCGCUUCUACAUCCUAGUGAGUAGUGGGUGCAUGUACAUGAUUCCUGAAAUUUAAUACUAUACAGACCGAUUUUAUAACAAACGAAGACUAUAAUAAUAAUAUUUAAUAAAAUAAAAUACGAAUAAUUCUUUUAAAAUACCAUCAUAAAAAUUGACAUUAAAGACUGGCCGCCGCCCGUCAGAGCUCAACAUAAAUAAUAAUAAAAAGUAUGAAAACUGACAAAUAGAUUUCAAAAGUAAUGGAAUGCUCUCGGCGAAGACGGACAAAUGCACUUCGUGAUUCAUAAAAAAAAAUGUUUAAAUUAAUAAAUCAAAUUCACAUGGGAGCAUAAUUUGUUUUCUGAAAACAAAAACAAAAGGAAUCUGCAGGCAAGGGAUCCAGGACUUCCAAAUAUCACGCACAUAAUCGGAAAAAAAAAUGAAAAUCCAGAAAAGCACAGACGAUUUCCAGAAAUGAGGCUCAGAUCCGGCGCAUUGAACAUUAAAACGAAAAAAGAAACUCAAAAUUCCACAAUAUCUCAGCUGCAUUAUAUUCAAAUCUCAAUCGAAUAUCGAUCCAGAUUUUAGACGAGCUAAAAAUCUGCGCAUGACAGCGCAAAAUCAGAAGCUAACAAGAUCUCAUAAUCGAUGAAAAAUGGAGCUAGAUCUAGCCUAAAUGUUUCGCCAUUGAAUUUAAGUACACAUUUUUUCAUCUUAUAUUUACUCAAACAGAAACAGAGGAAUUAGAAAAUGCGAACGAAUAAAUAUGGAAAUUUAAGAAUUUAAAAUAAAGCAAAAUAAAUUAAUAAUAAUAAGUACCUGAAGAAGCGAAGCACUUGGACUGCAAAGAAGAAGAAAAUGAGAGACCUCACUUUCUCUCCCUCUCUCUUUCUCGCCUUCGCCGGCCGCGUUGUGAGUUGUAAACGUUCGGCUCUCUUCAACUGAAAGCCCGAGAGCUCCGUAUUUAAGCUGAUCUUUCCCUCCUAGAGUGGGCCCCACUUGAUACGCGUCGUUUGGGUUUUUUUUCCAUACACACAGGACUGGUCCGAUACCAUUUCUUUACGUGGACGGACCCAAAUAAGUGUGCGUGGCCUCCCAAGAAAAGUGUUCGUGUCCUCAGUUAUUUGACCGAAUUACCCUUUCAUUCUGUCCGUCCAUACACGGCAUCUUUUCUUUUUAAAGACAACCACCAGUGGAAAUUCGACUUUUGGUUGCUAAAAUAUCUCGGAGUGUAUCACGUUCACGGGGAGAUGCUGAUAUGACGACAAUGCCCUUUUUAAUUGGCUUAGUAUUUUGAUUGGACAAGUAACGUGUAAGUUAGAAGUUAAGUUAAUUUAAUUUAUGACUUAUAUAAUAAUAAAUUUAGGUCUUAUUUAAGUUCUAUUUGUUAUUGAAGUGUUGUAGUUUUUAAUUUAUAAUUAUUAUUAAAAAAUUAUAACUAUAAAAUAAAAAUUAAUAGUACGUAAUAAAUAUAAUUUUAACAAAAUUAGUGAAAAUAUAAUAUAUUUUUCAUCACACAAUAAUAGAAUCAAAUCAACUUAAAAGUUACAAUAAUCUAACAUCAAUCCCAAAUAAAACUUGAAUAUUGAUGUUAGGUAUUUGUAACUUAAAAUUUUUUAAAUAAUAUUAUUAAAAUAUUAGGUAAAUAUCAUAUGUUGUAGCUUUGAAACUUGGUUAAUUUAAUCAAACACUUUGCAUGAACAAAAACUUAAAAAUAUUAUAAUAUUUUUUGUCACGACAACGAUAGUUUAAAAGAUAUAAUACUUUAAUACCAAAUACACUCUUAUAAUGUUUAUUAUUUUUAUUAAUAUUAUUAUUUAACAAUCAUAUUUAUCGCAUUUUAUUUAUUUUUAUUUUAUAAUUAUAAUUUUUUUUACAAUACAAUUAUAACUUAUAAGUUACCGUGCCUUCCUUAAUAAUACUGAAUAUGACAUUAAUGGAACGCCGUAUCAUCUGAUUUGAUUUCGAGUAUCUUAAGAUUUUAUUAAUAAUAUAUAGGGGAAAAAAAAUUGUGCGGAACAGUCUACUACUAGAUUAGUAGACCUCACAUUAGACCUAUUAGUUUUAAUAAUUAAAAAAAACUCAAUGGGUCCCACUACUGUUUUACUGUAUAAGAGAAAAAUUCGCAGACUGUGGCACGGGGAUAGGCCACGCAAGCUUUUUUAAUAUAUAAAUCAACCGAUAACCGUAAACCUUACAGUAAUCUCAUACGACGCUUGAGGGCGCGCCUACUACUGCUACUAUUUUUCAAAUUAAACUAUUCAAAUUGUUUUGAAAUUAUAGCGGCGAAAAAAAAAGAAAGUUGCCAAAUAAAUUUCUUUCGUAAUUUUUAUCUUAAAAAUUGCGUUGCGUGAAUAAAAAUGAAAAUAUUUAUUUCGUGGGCAACAUUGUUCAACUAUCAACUACAAUGAAUUGUUAUAAUCAGGGACAUUAAUUUUAUAUCAAACAACUAAUUAAAUAAAUAAAUCAUGUGCGCAAGCAUGCUCCGCAAUAUUAGCGUUAGCCCCCUAAUAAAAUAUUAUUCAAACAUUUAUAUUUUUAUUGUUGAUUAUUUGGGUACGGCAUUAAAAAUAGAAAGUCAGAAUGAAGCUGCAAAUAAUUAAAUUUCAAAGCAUGGGAAAACAGUUAUUACAAGUAGUUUUGGCGGUGGGAUGCAACUAUUUGUCAAAGGCAAAUUAAUUAGGCAAGUGGCUGGCUGGCAUUAAGUUGUAUGCAAAGAUUCAAACGCCGCGCAUUUUGGGCGUGUAAUCCGACAAGUUGAUCGAUCUGUCGAUUGUUACGUCAACUCAAGCAAUGAACUUUAAGAUUGAAGAACGCUGUUGUUGGACGACUUUACGAAAGAAUGUUGUUUGUUGAUUUGUGUACAUGAUUUUUAACUCUAAUAAAUUUCUUUUUUAAUGUUGGAUAGCUAGUUUCAAUUAUAACUGUGAACCAAUCAUUGUACCCAAUAAAAUACCCAAAAAAAAAAACGAAAAUUGGUUUUUCUUUUUCCUUUUUUGUUUUUAACAUAUUGCCUCUUCACACCGAUAACUAGUUACCUAUUCACAUGCUAUGACCUUACGGGACAAGAAGGGCAAGGGCGGAUUCAUUCCACUUAUAUGAAUUUAACAUAUAAUUAAAUCACGAAUGUUUUUGUGAUACAUACACACGAAAGAAAUUUAUAACGAGUAAUUUAGGUUUUGUCGUAUACUCAAAUUGAACAGGUCCCCAAGUAAUUUUGUCAGGAGAAGAAAGAAUGAAUUGGCACGUCCCAGAAAAUUUGAGCUGUAAUUAAUUGACUUGACUUAAUACACAUAAUUAAUUUAUGCCGAAAUUAACAAGUUUACCAAAUUACGUUAAAAUUCAUUUUUGGUCUCUUUCACCCUUCGCUCAUCCUAAAGUUGAGGGAGUCCCAUUUUACAUCAAACUAAUAUUAUUAUCAUUUUUUCUAUUCUCUUUCUUCUUCUUUUAUAAUUACGAACUGUCUUUUUCUUAGAAUUAGGUUGCGUUUGAAAUUUUCCUUCUCCAAAGUGGAAAAGGGCGAAACAUUGUGAAAUCCAUGUAAAACAUUUUCAAGUCAUUUCAAAUUGGUUUGGCCGUCUUCAACAUUGUGAAUCAUGAGUUAUAAUUGAAGAUAAUCUUUUUUCCUGCAAAUAGUUAAUUUGGCUUGAAAUAAACUUCUCUCAUUCCAAAGGUAGAUAGGUUGUCCUUUUCAAAUUUCAUUAUUUGAAUUUAACAAAGAACGUGGAAUUUACUCAGAAUUUUACAACUAAUUAAUUAAACGAGUUUAAUUAUAUUUCACUUUCAAAUUUAAUCAGCAAGGAAAAAAAUGAAACAAUAAGUCCUUUUCAUAAUAUAUGUUAUGGUCAAUAAUAUAUAUAUGAACUAUAAACUCUUCGAACAAACUCAUACAAUAUAAGACUAUUGAUUGGAUGAAAAUAUCACGUAACAAUGACAUAAUUCAAUUUUAUUAUCUUAUGUUUCUAUAUGACCAAUAGUUCCAAACGUUCAGUUAAAAUUGCAGACUUACUCACAUUAGAUUAAUUAUUCAUUAAUUUAAGUUCAAAUUAUUUUAAAAAUAUCUCAUCUAUUUAUAAUUUUUAGCUCAAUUGGCUUGAUGGACAGUUACAAAUAAAUAUAGCCUCAUAAUCUUAUUUCAUGCACUUGACAGUUGAGAGCAGUAAAAGCCGUGAUCUGGGAUAUGUCUUUUGACUUAUUUCAUAUAACUCCAUUCUAUCUUAAGUUAGGGUGCGUUUGAUAUUGAGGUGUAAAUUUUACAAUUGUUGUCGAAAAAAAAACUGUACCUAUGAAAUAAAAAAUUGUAAUAUAUAAUAAAUGUAAAAUUUAAAUAAUAAUUUAAAUAAAAUUAUUAAAGAUAUAAUAGAUUUUUUAUUAUACAAGUAAAAAAUUAUAUCAAUAUAAUUUUUAAAUUACAUCAAUUAGUAUUUACCAAACAUUUUAAUGCUAUAGUUUUUAAGUUACAACUGCUCAACCCCCUUCCCAAACGCACCCUUAAUUACUUACCCCGAAUACUUCCAAUAUUUUCAGUAUACAACACAAAUUACACUCUCUUGAAACUUAAAAAUCUUUUCCAUUGAAACGCUAGUGGAUCAAAACCGGCAAACGGUAAUCAUAGGUGGCAACAUCCGGCCUCCACGUAUCAGGUGAAGCCACCUGUCGUCGUGGUCACCGUCGUGAGGAGAUACGUGGCCUCACACGUUCAGGGGCAGUGAAUUAUGGGCUCUCCAACUUUCAUUUAUCCUUGAAACGUGUCAAAUACUCAAAUCCCUGCAACUCCUCCUCCAUGUAUUAAAUCAAAGAAGAAAACAUGAAAAUUUUAAAUCUAAUGUAAAUUAAAUAAUUUAUCGCUAAAGAUAAGAUGCAGUCAGGAAGAGACGCGGCGGAGUCCAUAAAGGCCAAAACCGCUGCUUCUGCUGAUUAGGUAGGCACGGAGAAGGCCAAGGCCUCGGUGAUAGGUCCCAGUCAGAACUACACUUAUACAAUGCGUAUGAUUCUCUUUGGAUGAGAAUAAAUCACCAGAUAAUAUUUAGAUAAUUUACUGAAUGACUUAUUAUUGCACUCAAAAACUUAUUUAUACAUUUAAUCACAACCCACUACUCCAAUAAACAGCCGAAAAUAGAGGCUUCUAGUGCGUACACUAAGCGAAUAACAGAAUAUAAAACAAAUGCAACAACCUACUUACUAAACCACUCAGCAAAACAAGUAGCACAAGAUGAUUUAAAUGCAACAACUAAACAAACUAUGAAUCCUCCAACGUCCACUUUAAGUCGAUAACUAUGCAAACUAACCACUAGUGAAUAUUGCUCCGGUUCCUACUCCCUUGCAUGCAUGAGUUUCACGUCCUGCAUGCCCAUGUCACACGUCUAGACCUCAUCCUUGAUACUUGGAAUUUGGUUUUGUCACACUUGUUGUCUUACAUGGCUCUCCAGCCUCAUCACUCCAUCAGAGAGAAGGCAGAGAGAAUGAAGAGGAGUGAUCCGGCGGAGAAAGAAGCAGCGACGAGGGAGAAAGAGGAGAGGGAUAAACAAGCACAGUGGAACAAGAAGGAGGCACAUUUCCACAAUGAAGAAGCCUGGCGGGUAGCCCAAUCAGGGGGCGGGGGCGGGGGCGCGCAUCCUGGUUACAAGACAUGGGGUUCUCAUUCUCAAGCUCGUGAUGAUAGUAAUGCAACUACAACUGCAACUGCACCUGCACCUGCACUGGGACUGAAGGUCGUUACACCCCGGCCACGAUGGGAGUUGGGCAUGCCACUGUUGCCGGGGAUUCACGUCAGCCCAGGGGCCCUGUUAGAAGUGAUGCUCCUAGGUUUACUUAAGAUAUAUGGAAUAUGUAGUGUGUGAAGAAUCUGCAUGCACGUGUAGUCGUUUUGAAUGAUGUGUCCCUGUUGUCUAAUUUCGAAUGUCUGUUUCUUUGAAUGGUCUGUCUGUUGUUCUUUUGAGUACUUUAGCAACAAAUUGUUUCUGAUGAUUAAGCUUUCAUUAGUUCGGUUGUUGUUGAUUGAACGCUUACAUUAAUUUUCAAGAACAAAAGAAAAUGAGAAAAAGAAAAAGGAAACUUCAGAAAGAGCCUGAAAACCAUCACUGUAGAAAUAGAAAAUGCCGUGACAUGGAACAUUUGAGAUAAAAAAAUAACGCCAUUUUACUCACGCGUUUUUCUUUUUCUUGUUUUUUCCUCAGCAUUAAUAUUAUACCUUCGAAGAUCAAAAGGGGACUGAAAGGGCGUGUCAGGUAGGUCAAGGACAGAGAGGUGUGUUUGGCAGGUUGGUUCGCUGGGAUCAGCAGGGCAUUAUUCAAGGUUAUAAUUUGUGCUAUAGGGGUUUCUUUUAGGCGUGUAAUAUAUUGUUUAGGAAAAUGUUAGGGAGCCAGAGGAACGAGAGAAUGACAAGAGAAACGGUAUUCUCUGCUGCCGUUUCGCUUCUCGUUCCUCUCGCUACCUAAAACAUUAAAAUAAUAAAAAAAAUAAUAAAGAAAGAAUGCUUUAUUGCUACGUACAGAGGGAAAUCUUAUCAACUUAUCUCCAGCCUAGACUUUCCUCUCUCCCUCACGCUCCCCUCUCACGCAAAUCACCAUCUUCUCAACUGGUCGACAUCCUCUCUCCCUCACGGCUUCCGGCAAAAAUAUUUCGGAUUGCAGAACAAAUUAAAGUACAUACCUUUUUUUUUCAUUUAAAUGGCCACAUGUAAUAAGCUAAGUUGUAGUUUCAGUCUCGGAUUUGGAUUUAUCAAGAUGGUAUCCAAAAGUGCCAUCCUCGGGUUUUGAUUUGGAAACCUGACCAUUAUCAGUUGGUUUUGUUUUUCGUUUUGGGACUGUAAACAUAGCCUUCAAGAUUUGGUUUUCCAGUUUCAGGAUUGGAAUUGUAAACUAUAAACACUUGCAGAGGCAAGGAUUAGCAAUGAUAAGAGAAUCAAAGAAGCAAUAUUGAAAAGGAAGCAGGUGGUGAUAUACAGCCAUUAAUUACAAGAGAAGCAGAUAAUUAAAUAGAUAUACAUGUCAUAAGAUGCCACCAUAUGGAUGAUCCCCAAUGUAUAAGUAACUCAGCAGCGCUUACGAUUGAUUUUCAGGUGGAUGUAAAAUGGGCGAACUUGAAUUAUUAGGCUCUCAUAAGGAAGGCUUUCAUAGUUAUGUGUGGCGACGUGACAUUCAAAAAAAUUAGACUUUGUCGUUGCUCAUCAAUAAUUACAGACGAAGUAGAUCAUCUAACUCUAAUAUCCUUUUGCUCAAUAAUAACCCUAAGUUGAUUCAUUAAGACUUCAUUUAAUUUUCAAUUGAUUUUCGUAUUUAAAAAAAUGAGCCGAUACAUCCUGUCAUCACUUCUAUUUGUGUUAAAUAUUUCAUUUUGAUGGCCGUGAGCAGUUCGUGAAAGGCUGGCUGGAGAGGGAGGAGGUUGUGAGCAGUUCGUGAAAGGCUGCCUGGAGAGGCCGCGAGCAGUUGCCAGUUGCUGGCUGGAGAGGGAGGAGGCUGUGAGCAGUUCGUGAAAGGCUGCCUGGAGAGGCCGUGAGCAGUUGCUAGUUGCUAGCUUGAGAGGGAGGAGGCCGUGAACAGUUCGUGAAAGGCUACCUGGAGAGGCUGUGAGUAGUUGUUGGUUGCUGCCUAGAGAGGGAGGAGGCCGUGACCGGUUGCUGGCUGGAGAGGGAGGAGGUCGUGAACCAUUGCUUUGGCUGGAGAGGGAGGCCGUGAACAGUUGAGAAGAUAGUGAUUUGCGUAAUUUGCGUGAGAGAGGAAAGUGAAGAGUGAAGCCUGCGUGAGAGAGAGAGAGGAAAGUGAAAGCCUGCUAGAUUUCACUCGCCAUUUCUUUAUUCAAUUUUUUUUAAUGUUUUAACGAGUGAGAGGAACGAGAGGCAAAACGGCAGCAACUGCUGCCGUUUCUCUCGUCCCUCUCGAUACCUAGCAGCACUCUAUUGUUUAAAGUUUGCGUCAACGAAUCAAAUUUAAAAUCGCUUAUGUCAUUAUUAUGUCUCAUGUAUUAUUAUGCCUUAGGUUGAGUUGAAAAUUUGAUUUUUUUUUGUUAUUUUAUAGUUUUAAGUUAGUUUCUUACUUUUUUUUAUUGUUUUUGAUAUUUUUAUUUUUUUUAGAUAUCAUAUUUUAGUGACAUUUAUUUUGUUUUCUUUAUUUAGAUUUGGAUAGUUCUAUUAUGAAACAGUAUUUCUAAUUUAUCUAUUUUGAUAAACUAACUAUAUUUAGAAUUAGUAUUAAAAGGAUUUAAAGCCUUAGUAACGUUGAUUUAUUUAUUCGUAAUUGUGGGUUAUUUUAUAAUCUUAAAGAAGGAUAAAUUUUAAUAAGUCUCAUUCUAUUAUAAAUUAAAGUGAAUUGAUAAUUAAGAUUUGAGACAGUAUUUUAUAGAGAAGUGAAUUAAUAAUUAAGUGAUUUGACACAUUAGUUUAUAGAUCGAUAAAAAAAAACACUAAAAAAAUGAGUUCGAAGGCUAUACGUAGGAAAUACACAUUUAAGUUGGUUAAAUUACUGAUCAAAAGUUUAAACUAUAAGUCAAAAAGUAAGAGUUCAAUAAUUGUACUGAAUAUAAGUUUUAAACCUCUUAAAAUUUAUUUUUAUAAUUUAAGUCUCCAAUAAAUUUUUUAAUGCUUCAUUGUUCUCUUAUGUUAAAGGAGUAAAAUAAAAAUUGCAAUGUUAAGGAUAAUAUUAUCAUGACAUUUUCACAUACUGUCGAUAGCAAACUGAUUAAAAGACAAUUUAACAAAGGCAAGGCAAAAAAAAGAGAAAUGAAUAGAAACAAGUGCAAUAAUUAUACAAAUAGAUAUAAACUGAAUCUAAAAGAAGGCAAAUCAUUAAUUAGCGUCGUUAUGAAUAAAAGAGAGUAAGCGAGUGUGAAGCAUCGAUCAUUCUUUUUCCUUAUUUUAGAAAUACAUAUGUCGGUUUCAGAAAUUAAUAAGAUAAAUGAAAACUCGUUUCUUUUUCUUAAGAAUAAUCUCCUAGAAACGAACUUGAAUUAAGUCUCACUUUUGCGUGAAAUUGAGUUCACAGAAGUUGCAAACUUCCAAAAUUAUUUUCAGAUUUACGUGAAGGCCCAUCAUAUCUAUCAAAUUAAAUUAGAACUACAACUCUUCUGGAUCGAAACACAUGCAAGUGGAUCAAAAGCAUUCAACGGCAACGAUCACACAUGCAACUUCCGGCCUCUUGUCGCCACCGGAAGCCGCCACGUCAGAGAAAUAUUCUCAAAAACAAACAUCCUUAUCAUCCUAGUAAUCAAAGCCAUAGAAGACACGUCGCCUCACGUGUCAUGGACAGUGAUGUUUAUAGAACUCCACUUGUCACUUGUGUUGUACACGUGUCGAAAACCCAGUAUCCCUCCAAAUCUAUUUAAACCAGACCAAAAACUUGCAAAAUUUUUCGAGCACGGUUGGUUCUUCAACAUCGGUACGUACUAAUAUCAAGACAGCCAACUUAGUUCAACAAGAAGGAAGAUGCAGUCAGGAAGAAACACAGUAGAAUCCGCCAAAGAAUCGGCGGCCGCCUCUGCCAAGGCCGCCAUGGAGAGGGAGAAGGCCACCGCUAAAGAAAAGGUCUUUAUAUCUUUUUUUUUAAUUAUUAAUCCCACAGCAUUACGCAACAAUGUUACCUAUAAACGUAAUCUGAUGCAGGGGGAGAAGUUAACGACGAGGGACCCGAUGGAGAAGGAAGCAGCAACCCUGGAGAAGGAGCAAAGGAAGACGCAUGCGCAGCUGAACAAGGAAGAGGCAAAAGCACACAACGAAGCGGCGAGGCGGCUGGGGGAGACCGGAGGGCCCCAUCCGGGUUACGAGACACGGGGUACUGAAGGUCAAGAAUACAGGACAACAACUGCAACUGACACUGCGCCUGCGACCGGCCAUGAGGGUUACGCGGCCGAAUCCCGUUAUCCUAGGGGACGUAAUCCUCCUAGCUAUUAGUCUGUUGGUUUUUUGUAUAUAGAUUCCCGGAAUGUCCAGGCGCUUAUGGCUUCUUGGAGUGUCGUUAAUAAGCGAUGGUUAUAUCUGGUUUAGUGUUUGUAUACU
rnacentral:lncRNA from 1 species